rnacentral:lncRNA from 1 species
UUCUUUGCACGUUUGGUAGGACACUUUGAUGUUGCCGAUGAGAUCACGCCGAUCAAAAUUGAUAACUUUGACUGAGCUUGUCUCAUGAAGGUAGUGAUCGCUAUUCUAUUGUAAGUAAUCUAUUGGCAUCUUAGAGAUGAAUUGGAACCUUGCUUCCUACUGUCUGCAAUUGUUAAUCACGCGUUGUUGUGCUGGUGCAUGACUUUGGACUGUCCAUGCACAUCAUUGUAUGUCCAUCCUGCUUGUAUACUUGGCCAGAUUCCAAGUAUGAGAAUUGGCUUAAUGAUGCAAUGGCGUCAAUUACCUGUCAUGGUUGAAUAUGAUGGUCGAAUUGCCCCUCAUUCUUGAAAUUGAUAUGAUCAUCACAUUCCAGCUGCAAUUGUGCACUUUUGGUUCCAUUGAGCUUCAUGGCUUUUUGCGUGACCUUCUAUCUUUCGCUAAGCAUGAUUUGAAUCCGCUUUUAUCAUCACAGAAAGGGCUACUGUUAACAGCAGGCCGCAACAAGUUCAUUCGCUUUGCACUUUAAUAAUACAAAAGGAUAGAAGAAAUUAGAGCCCAUAUCUAUGGGGCGAAACUCUUACGAGAUCGUGGCAAGGGUAUGCUGGGAUUGAGAUGAAUGAAGCCCCAAAUCUAGCGCACAUACACGGACGACUUCUGGGGUUCCUAGAGGCUGGUCCUUCUGGAAACGGUACAGGGCUUUGUAACCGAUUGGAUUCAGUGUUUCUUACGCCAUUAUCGAUCUGUUCUUUCACUUACCAAGGUUGACAAAACUCAUGCUUUCGAUGAGCCUGAAUUAAAAAUCAGAUCUAUCCCAAUAGGAAACCCUUUUAGAUUUCUCUUCAUAACAUCAUACCAUGUCUUUCUUCCUCCCCUUUGUUUGGUCUUGGGUGAUGAGAGAAGAAUACAUUCCGUCACCUAAAGUUGGACAAGUUUUGUUCAACGUUGUUAAUGAAAGACUCAAACCUAACUUGAUCCUUGAAUCUAGGCAUAAAGGAUUGGCUUGUUGGUCAGUCAAACGAGCAUCGUGCGCUGCCCUAAUAUUUGUGCUUCCAUAAUCGGAGACCUUAAAAGCGAAAGGAAACUUGGGAAAAGUGUACCAUAAAAAUUAGGUUGAGAACUUAAUGCCCAACAUCAUUUAAAAUAAAGUAAAGGAACACGGUCAAAAUUUGACGAUUUUCCUAGAAAGAAACUUAUUCUGCGAUCAUCAAUGUAAAUCAACUUAGCAAUAUUUGGGAUUUAUCUAAUAGCCUUUUUGGAUUGCAUUAUUUGCUGUUUGCUUGAAUCAUCACAUCCGCAUACAUUCAGUUUCUUAGUCAUAUGAUAAAAAAAACACAUUUCUCUUUGUCAAAACCUUUAGGCUUUCUUAGUCAUAUGAUCAAAAAACACAUUUCUCUUAGUCAAAACCUUUAGGCUUUUCUUUUAUGUGUCCAAAAUUCAUAUACAAUUCAAAUCUCAACCAAAUGCAUCUACCGUAUUUUAAGGGCAAAUAUCAUUGUCUCCUUUUAGAACUCAUACAAGCCACUAUUAGUAGGACUCCUCAAAUAGCCCUCAAAAUCUUCAUUAUAUAACUUAAACCAACACUAACUGACCAAAAAAGAAAAGAAAAAAGUAAAUUAACACUCAAUUGAUUCAAAGGCACUUGAGAAAAUCGGUCUUUUCUUCAACUUUGGGAUGUGCCUUACAUUAGUCAAUGUUCUCAUGAUACUAUCAUCCAUCCUUAUUCUUACGUCGCCAACACACAAUCCAAGCAUCUAAUAGAGAAUAAAUCUUUCUAGAUCCACUAUCUUUUCCUUUCUAUGUGCUGGCUAGCAUUUAAUGAGGUCUUCGUUCUCGAGUUCAUGCAGCCCACCAUAAAUCUAAAGCUCACUUUGUUUUUCCAUGGCUUGCUUAUAACUAAUAUUUUACUAUUCAAAACCCGUCGCACCUACUUGCUCCACGACAAUCAAAGCAUUUGAUGGAGAAGAAAUUUUUCUAGGUGCCCACUGCCCAUAAUCUUUUCCUUUUCAUAUGUCUGCUAGCAUUCAGUAAGGUCUUGAUUCUUGACUUCACGCAAUGUUAUCAUAAUUCUCGCGCAAGUUGAUUUCUUUUUAUUUUCAUGCUUCAAAAGUUCAUUAAAUAAUUGCAUCUUUUCUUUCAUUUUUCUUCGUGCACAUACCUUGAAUCAAGACUUUCUUUCAAUAGUCCAAAUCUAACAGUCAAAUCUAGGAACCAUCAACCAAACGUAACGUGCUCAAAUCCAACUAUCAAAACAUUAUAUUAUUCAAACAUCUCGCUGUCGUAUCCACUUUCUCUCGCUGCUCUCCUCUGUUCUUCCCCGAAGUCCAACUUCAAUCAUCUCGCUCGAAUCCUCGUCGCCCAGUCGUCGUCCGUCAAACCGCAACCCGGAAAGCACGAGACCAUGGCUUCUGCACCGUCGUCCUCAGAAACAACUGCUGAGAGACAGAGAGUCACAGCUCCGUAUGGCUCUUGGAAGUCACCCAUCACCGCCGACGUCGUCUCCGGCGCCUCCAAGAGCCUUGGUGGCAUCUCCGUCGAUGGCGACGGCCGUCUUGUCUGGCUUGAGUCCCGUCCUAACGAAGCCGGGUAUGUUACUCCACUUACCAUUUUCUUUAAUAAGAAGGAUAAGCUAAUUAAAACAGAGUAUGCGGGCACUAUUUUCUGGGUACUGUGAAUGGUGCUGAAAUGAUGCUUUCGUUACUGUGUAAUCUUUAUGGUUCGUGAAAUGAAUGAGUCUGGAGAGCUUUCAGGAGUGUACUGACUUAUGGAUGGUUAUGAUGGCUAUUAGACGCUCUGUUCUUGUGAAAGAACCGGGAAAGCCAGGAGAUGAACCUGUUGACAUCACGCCCAAAGAGUUUGCAGUGAGGACUCUGUGUCAGGAAUAUGGCGGUGGUGCUUUUAGCAUUUCCGGGGAUACUCUUGUUUUCUCGAAUUACGAGGAUCAGAGGCUGUACAAGCAGUCCUUACACCUGGAAGGUAAGCUCAGUGGCUGCUGUAGUGCGCGUUGAAGGUCUGCUUCCUUUGGGAUUAUAAUUGUAAUCUUCAGUCUAUUCACAAAGAAGUUUACAGUUGGAUUUGGUAGCGCCAUGCUUAGAUCCUUACAGAUGGUAGACAUGUUGUGAUAUGAUUGGAGGGUAAAAAGAACUGAACUUGAAGCAUAGACUAUGCCUCUUUAGAAAUGUUGUGGUAAAACUUCCUUUCCCAUUUCAAUUCUCCUCAGUCUCUAGAAUACGUUAUGGGAAGCAGUGACUCCGACGGAAGCAAACUUGCUAUGAAAUGUUGCCGAUUGGAAUUGAGAAGGCCACUUGGAUUUUCCUAAUACACGUUUUGCUGAGUGAAGCCUUGUGUUUUAUCGAAGUUUUUGUAGAGCAGUAUCUCAUUCAUCAAUGACCAUCACACUUCUGUGGUUACUCUGUAUCUCCGACAGAUUCUCCUCCAUUGCCAAUUACUCCAGACUAUGGUGGGCCUUCAGUUUGUUAUGCAGAUGGAGUUUUCGAUAGUAGAUUUGGCCGUUACAUCACCGUAAGGGAAGGUAACUACUCUUUGAAGGAGCUUAUUUUGGUGCUCCUAUUUUCUGGGGACUAAUGAAUAGGAACUUACCCGACUGCUUUUAUAUGAAUAUAGAUCGGCGUGACAGCAGCUCGAAUCCAACAGCUACAGUUGUCGCUAUUGGCCUUGGUGAGAAGGAUAUAAAGGGUAAGUAAUUGCUGGGCAUGCCAGAUUAGUUAUUUGCUACAUUAACUUGUUCACUGCAAUACCAGAAACCUACUGAUUCUUUUUCUUUCUUUUACCCUUCAUUUUGUUUUCAUAUUAUUGGGUGGAAUUUAGAGCCCAAAGCAUUAAUCAGUGGCAAUGAUUUCUUUGCUUUUCCACGGAUGGAUCCAAAGGGCGAAAAGAUAGCAUGGAUUGAGUGGUGUCAUCCAAAUAUGCCAUGGGAUAAAGCAGAACUCUGGGUUGGGUACAUCUCAGAGGCUGGGUAUGUAGAUCGAUGUUCUUUUUUAUCGUUCAACAUUCUCAUGUCCAUUAACAAAGCCAUUGUCACCAUUUUCUUAUUGCCAACAGAUUUUAGAUUUUGUUGCAACAAUUCUUUCACUUGUGAGACAGAUAAGGGUUGUUUAAACAAAUUCAUGCUAACAAGGGAGAGUCCUCUAACCUUGACAUUUCCAUGUGACCUUAUGUGCACUAUUAUAGUAGUUGAUUCAUGUAGUCUGAGUAUAUUAAAUGUCAGAACAUGUUCUUUUCAGGUAAUGUUGAUGUUUAGAGACCUAAGCAAAUUUCCUGUCACAUUUUUAUCUUAUUUUUUAGUACAUAGAACUAACCAUAAACACCAUCUGUAACCACGAUCUUGAGCUUUGAGUGGUUGUCAAACUUUACAUAUCAUCCUGCUCAUUGAACUUAUUACCUUAGCCUAGAACAGCCAUGGCUAAUGGUGAGCUGUGAGCCAAGUGAGCCAAGUGAGCCAAGUGAGUUGCAACUUGUGAUUCAGUACUUAUUUGCAUUUUCCUGUCACUUUGUCUGAUCAACUCUUCAUGUGAUUUUAAGACACUCGUAACCUUUCCUUAUGUUUUUUCUAUGUGCCAUAUUCACACUAUUUUCUUGUGCAUUGAAUUUCUUGGUACUCCUAUGCAGAGAUAUUUAUAAGCGUGUCUGUGUUGCUGGUCGUGAUCCUAAAUAUGUUGAGUCACCAACUGAACCUAAAUGGUCUCCAAAAGGUACUUCUAUGCGUUGGCUUCCAAUUUGAAUUUCGGAGUUGCUGCAACCGAAUUUGUCAUUUGAUGAUACAUGUUCGUUUUUCACCUGAUGAUCUUCAAUGCUGAAGAAAUGUGAGAUUGUAAUAUUAUCGUGAUGUGAAUGAACAAAAAAAGGAGCCUGAUCCCCCAAAAUAAUCGUUGAAUGUAAAUGGCCUAUUCCCAAUUCUAGCUAAUCUGCCUGAAUAACAUAUUGGGGUCGUCUGAUUAAUUUGUUCAUUGUGUUGCUUUUGUGAUGAUCUGAGGAUGUCAGUCUUAUUCAUAAUGUGCUAACAGGAUGAAAGUCCUAUAGUUCUUUUCAUUGGUAUUUCAUGUUUUCCCUUAAAUAUGUAUUACUUAAGAUAUGCAUCUAGAGUCCUCUAGUAUGUCUCUUGCUUACUGGUGAUUUAUUUUUACACUUCUGCUAUUUUUCUUCCUUUCCACUCUACUCGGAUCAUCGAGUCUGGAGGCAUGCUAAAUCUAUUUUACUGUAGAAGCUCUGGAUAUGUAAUAUUUCAGUGAAAACAUAGGAGGAAAUGUCAAAUUUAAGUGGCUUGAAAUUGUGGCAGACAUUACAUUCUGCUUUGAACACAUGCAGGUGAACUAUUUUUCAUUACUGAUAGGCAGAAUGGAUUUUGGAAUCUCUAUAAGUGGGUAAGUACUGGUCACCGAACCCUGAGUUGUUGCUAUUUAUGUGUGUCGAGUUUAAAAUGGCCAGAUAUUAUAGAUGCUUCAAUUCAUUGAAGAUUUUUUAUAGCGACCAAGCGUGAAACAUUAAAGAGGAUAGUCAAAGAAGGAAACACGAUUUUUUUGGUAAAACCCUUUUGAGAAUUAGAAAAGGGAAAAAACAUGGUGUUGCACUAGGCAACAAUUAGCAGCAAGUUUCAAGUCCCAAUUACAAAAGAGAUUGCCACAAUAUAUAACAAGAGUCAAAACCAUAUAAAGUUAUAGAGAAAAUUACAUGUAUACGUUUAGUAGCAGUACUUUCCUCUCUACUUAAUGGCACUUUCCUCUAUCAGACUUCACAUCUCCAUCAAUCUCCCACUUUGAAGCUGAUCUUUGCUACAACAAUAGUCUCUCAUCGUCUUCCCUCAUUUUUGUAACCUAAAUUGUCCUAGUGUGGCACCUUCUUAUCACUAACCAGAGCACAGUUUCAGUUUCUCAGCGGUGACAACCUUAGUUAAUAUGUUUGCUGGAUUCUUCACAUCAAGGACCUUCUUCAAUUACAAUGUCCUACCAUCUAUUAACAAACGAAUAUGAUACUUCUACUAAAUGUGUUUUGUCCUUGAGUGAAAUACGAGAUAUUUUGCAAGACGAAUAGCUUACUGUCAUUAAAAAGGACAUUGCAAUCCUCCUCCCUACUUAUCUCCUUCAGAAAAUUCUUCAACCAAAAUCUUCUCCUUACUAGUUCUAGAUAUAGCAACAUACUCUACUUCAGUGGUAGAGAGGGAUGCACGCUUCUGAAGUCUAGACAUCCAAUUGAUUGCUGUGUCACUCACAGUAAAAUCAUAACCUUAAGUGCUCUUCUUAUUGUCCAUGUCACCAUUAAUAACUGCAUCAACAAAGCCUUGUAAAGUCGCACUAUUUUUCAUAAAAUAAAGUGACAUACUUGAAGUGCCUCUUAGAUAUUUUAAUAGCCAUUUUACAGUUCUCCAAUGCUUUUCCUAGAUUAGUCAUAUAUCUGCUCACAUCUCAUACUGCAUGAGCUAUAUUUGGUCUAGUACUCACCAUAGGAUACAUCAAAAUGCUGAUAGCUGACGUAUAAGGCACCCUAGCCAUAUAAUCUCGCUCAUCAUCUCUCUUUGCCGACUACUUCUCUGAGAGCUUGAAGUGACUGCCUAAAGGAGUGCUUAUGGGCUUUGCAUUCAGGAUCCAAAUCAGUCCAACACCUUCUCAAUGUACUUUUCUUGAGACAACUUUUUCCUUAGAAUCUAUCUCGCAGGGUCCUCAUCCAAGAAUCUAAUUUGCGGCUCAAAGUCCAUUUCAAACUCCUUUGGUAAUUGUUGCUUCAGUUUGUUGAUCUCCCUCAUGCUAGAUCCUGCAAUGAGCAUAUCAAACACAUACAACAACAAAAUAAUAUAGCAGUUACCAAAUUUCUUGAAAUAGCAACAAUAAUUUAUUUCACGUCUAGUGAACCUGUUACUGCAAGUGCGUCAAAUAUCUUGUACCACUAUCUAGAAGCUUGUUGUAAAUGAUACAAACUUGUACUCAACUUGCUGACGAUAGUUUUCUUUGCUAGGAACCUGAAAAACUUAUGAUUAUUCACUGUAGUUAUCAUUCUCUAAGUCUUCAUGGAGGAAUGCAGUCCUUACAUCUAAUGCUCUAGAUGUGAAUUCUUAGUGGCAAAGGUAUUCAACACUGGCCUGAUAAUAGUCAACUACAAAACUAGAGAGAGAAUUUCUAUAUGCUCAACUUCUUUCUUUUGCUAAAAACAUUUCAUUACUAACCUCACUUUGGACCUCUUGUUACCAUUAGGUAUUUGACCUUGUAUGCCCAAUUGUUCUACAAUGCCUUCUUCCCAUCUAGUAACUAAGUUGACACCCAAAUUCUGUUCUACUCGUGUGAAUCAAAUUCAUCUCGCAUUGUCAACUCCCACUAAACAGAAAUUUUAACCUGCACUGCUUCCCAAAUUUUUUUUGGUCCGCCAGCAUUUGUCAAAAGCAAAUAAUGCAAUGGUCUAGAAUACCUUUGUACACGGUUAGAUGUUCUGCUAAAUCAUCUCAAAGUGAGUUUGGAUGUAGGUAGUUCUUGUUCUGGUUAUUAAUCGGAGUCUAUAAUAGCAGUUUUAUGAUCUCUGAUCUGAACACUCUUAGAAAUUCCCUUCAAUUUAAUCUCUUUAAUCUCUUCUGUGUUUUCUCACACUAGAUUCUACAAUAAAUUUGUCCUUUUACGUAACAUCAUUCGUUCUUAUUAUUUUCCUGUUUUGGUCAUUUCAAAACCAAUAGCCAAAGUGACCAAAAUCAUAUCCAAUGGAAAAACAUUCUCUAGAUUUUGCAUCAAGCUUGUCUCUAUUUUCAAAAAUCUAUGUGCGCAUAUAAGGCACAACAAAAAUUUUCAAAUGCGAGAGAUUCUCUCAUUGUUUCUGGUCCAUUGUUUUGGUAGUUCGAAAUCAAGUGAAAUUGAAGGUCUUAUUUCAUCAAAUAUGCUCCUGUGCUAACUGCAUCUGCCCAGAACGUCUUGGGUAAUAUUACAUGCAUCCUCAUACUUCUUGCACACUCAUUCAAAUUUCUAUUCAUCCUCUCAGCAACUCCAUUUUGCCAUGGUGUGAUGCAACUGUUCUUGUCAUCCUCAAUCUACUCUCUGCAUAAAACUACUUGAACUCCUUGCUAUUUUUGAAUCAUUAGAUGGAUCUUCUUCUAACCACCAUUGUCAGACCUUAGACAUUUAAUCAUCAGAUCGACCUCUUUCUCUACUUCAGCUUUCCAUCUUUUAAAAGUAGCAAAAGCAUCAAAUUUAUUAUAUAGAAAAUAAACUAGUACCUCUCUGGUGGAAUUGAUAGUGAAUGUGACGUAGUUGCUUGUAACUCCAAGGGAAGGAACAGGGGCUAGCUCUCAGACAUUUGUGUGCACCAACUGUAACUUGUUUUUCUUUAAUUCUCUUCCAAUUUUUGAAAAAUUGACACAUUUUUGCAUGCUUAGAACACAAUCCUCACAUAGACCCCUAUCUAUGGACUUAAGAUUAGACCAUUUUCCCUUUAAUGAUAACACUUUCACCCCUCAUUUGCUCCUGUGUCCAAGCCUUCGAUGCUGCGGUGUACAAUCCCUUACCAAGCCAGGAACUGCUACUAUAUCUCUAUUGAUUUCACUCAUGUAUUUGUUCCCAACUUUGCUCCCUAGGACCAUUAACAAUCUUCCCCGAGCCAUUUCUAAAAAAAGGUUUUUUGUAACCCGUGUUGUCUCAGUGACCUAUAGAGAUUAGAUUUCUCUUAAGCCAGGAUUAUAUCUAAUAUCACGCAACUCUAAGUAAUACCCAUUAGCAGUCCCUAUGUUAACAUCACCUUUACCCAUCAUAUCCAAAGCAAAAUGAACCUUUCUAAACUUCCUAGCAACAAUACUGUGCAUUCAUUCUCUACACGAAGUAGAGUGAAACGACGCACCCAAGUCUAGAAUCCAUGACUCAGUUGGACUUUUAAUAAUAAAAAUUAAGGCAUCAUGGACAAGUGCCUCUUCAAAGGUUUACAUUGCCAGCUUUCUCCUCCUUUUGAUUUCAAUACUAAAUUUUCUUCUUUUGGCUCUACAAUCUUGCUUCAGAUGGUCCUUUUUUUCAUAAUUCCAGUAGAUUAUUCCACCAUGAGGUCUCAAUUUUCAUAUCCCUCUAGACUUCGAUCUACCACAGUUCCAUUUUGACCUUGUUGGUUACUUCUCUCUCUGCCUUCAGUACUCAAGGCAAUGCCCGAAGAUUCACCCGACUCUCUUUUAUGAAUAUCCUCACUGAGAAUCAAAUCUCAUAUCCUCUCUCUUAUUUUGACUAGACAAACUGUUCACUACAGUCACAUUUGUACUCCAACUUCUAGGGAGAGAAGAUAACAAAAUCAAAGCUUUUGCUUAUCGUCAAAUUUGAUUUCCACCAAACUCAAUGAUCAUGUUGAAUUUAUUGAUGUAAUGUGUCACGGAAGUGCCUUUGUGCAUCUUUUGAUUGAACAAUCUUGUAUGACGCAGAGGGCUUUUCGUACAUGUUGGACAAAGCCCUCAUCAAUUCUGGCGUUGUUUUCUCGUUAACGAUGUUGAAGGUGUUUCACACCAACAUGAGAUGAAUCACAGAAGAACUUUUCGAUCUAACAAUUCCUAGUCUUCUUGAUCGAAUCUGGUUCUCUCCCAACAGAGGCUGAUGCAGUUUUUUGAUAAAGCAAAUCUUGAUCACUUCUAGAACCAAAAUCUUUGCCGUUGAACCGAUCAAUUUUCACCUUACUUUUGUCCUAUCUGGUCACCCCCGCUAUUCCGCCUUACCAGACUCCAGUACCAAUUGUUAGGAGCGCGAAAUGUAAAAGAGAAAAAUUAUAGAUACAUACAAGAAUUUUAACAUGGAAAACACUUUCAAAAUGACAAUGGUACUGCACUAGGCAAUCUUUUCACUAUUAGUAUCAGUAUCAAGUUUCCAGUUACAAUUGCAGGAGCAAUUAUCAUAUGUAGCAAGAAUCUAAGGCAUACAAAGUUAUGGUGAAGUUACUUGUAUACCCUUAGCAGCAGUACUUUCCUCUCUGCUUUAAUAGCACUCCACUAUCAAACUCCGCAACUCCAUCACGUCUUAUAGUAACCAAGCCAAAGUGGGUUUUUUCCGAUGGUUAGUCAUACUGGAAAUUUAAUCGAUCUCCUUAAUUUUCAUAUUACACUUCACAAGAAUUUAGACUGUAUCAGUCAAAUAGUGGGGACUUUGGAUGUCACACUGUGAAAACUAUGAAUGAGGAGAGUUUAUUAUAGUUAUAGGUUUUCUGCAGGAGAUUGAGUCCUUAUUGCAUAUGUUAGCUCUUUUAGCUGCCAUUUAUACUGGCAUAGCUCCAUCGUCAUGGUGUUGGAAGUGAACUACUUUAUGUCUUUGCUAUGCUUCAUGAUUCAACAGAUUGAGUCUGCAAAUGAGGUCCUGCCUCUUUAUCCAUUAAAUGCUGAGUUUGCAAGGCCAUCAUGGGUUUUUGGCUUGAACUCUUAUGAAGUCAUCCAGAGCGACGAACAGAAGACCCUGAUUGCUUGCAGCUACAGGUGAGCCUUUUUUUCUGUUUUAACAUUGUCCUAAUAGCCCAUUAUGGUAUCUUACCAAUCUAUUUGAAAUCUUCCUGCAGGCAGAGUGGAAGGUCUUUUCUUGCGAUGAUCGACGUUCGUCAUAGCUCAUUAUCAUUGCUAGACAUUCCAUUCACAGAUAUACAAGAUAUAGUACGUUCAAUACCAUCUCCAUGAUGAGUCGCUGUAACUACUUUUCAAGCUGACGGUUCGGUAAAUUGUGUACAUUCUGCUUUUGCAGACUUCAGGGAAUAAUUGCCUUUACGUUGAGGGAGCAUCAGGACUACUUCCAACAUCUGUGGCUAAGGUGCUUGCAAUACUCUACCUUAGUAAUCUCCUCAUAAUUGAUGAAGUGUGAACAGAGCUGUAAUAAUAGCAUUAUCUCAGUAUUAAAAUUUUCUUUGUUCAUGGUUUGCAGGUGACUUUCAAUGAUGAAAAGUCAGAAGGCAUUGAUUUUCAGAUAAUAUGGUCAUCUUCGCCAGACUGUUUGAAGUACGAGUCGUAUUUCAGCUUGCCAGAGCUGAUUGAAUUUCCAACUGAAGUUCCUGGUCAAAAUGCUUAUGCAUACUUCUAUCCUCCAUCUAAUCAUGUUUAUCAAGCUAGUGCGGAAGAAAAGCCUCCACUGUUGUUAGAAAGCCAUGGUACUUGAAAAAUUGCAACUCAGUUAUUGUCCUACUUGAAUUCACCUUGCCAACUCUAUAUUCUUCUGUGGGAACUUUGUACUACCAAACUGGUAUUUUCAUUCACAAUAAUCAUUAAUUGACCUUACUUGUCAAAUCAAGUCUUUAUUUUGAUAUAAAUCUAUGAUUCAUUGGUGAAUUUUCAGACUAAACAAGUAUCCAGCAUCAGUUAUAGAUAUUAUAGAUGCGCAAAACAAGUCAGUGCAUAUGCAACUGAUGCUGAAUGAAGAUGGAGUCAAUGUAGGGAACAUAUUUUUUCAAAACUAUAUUGAUAUGGUAUACUGUACACUGUUGCCCCUCUUAACACCUGUAUUGCAAUGUUAGUCAUGCAUUGGAAUGGAAUAUAAUGAUUGCUUGGCACUUUUGUUGACAUAUAUGCAUGGUAUACAUUUGGGGCAUGUUUUAUGACAAUUCAAGCUUUUGGGGGAAAUGAUUAUUCAACCCGGUAUCAAAGGUGUUAAAAGUCCAAAUCUCCUCUUGUUGCCAUUCUGUUUUUUACUUUCAUUUAUCCUCUGAUUGCUGUUAAAUUUGGUUAUUUUCACAUCUAAGGUCUAGCAUACACUGAAGGGGGAGUGUUAAGACAUAUCUCAACAUUAAUUAUGGGCAUAAUUUUGAACAACUUAGGUUUUUCCAGAAAAGAAUGGCCUUUUUGACAAUUUUGAGAAUAGCCUCUCUCUCUCUCUCUCUCCCUCCCUCCCUCCUUUAAAAAAAAUAAAAAAAUUAGUGGGAGUAACUGGCAAUUGUUUGUUCCAAGUAGCAUUGGCAUGCAUCAAUAUCUAAUCAUAUUGAUCUGGUUAUUCGGGAAUGUUUAUGUAAUUAUGCUUAAAAUUGCCCAGGAGGGCCUACUAGUGAAACACGAGGAGUUUUGAACCUGAGUAUUCAAUACUGGACUAGCAGAGGAUGGGCUUUCGUGGAUGUCAAUUACGGUGGAAGCACUGGUUUGUCUCUAUAUGAGAACUUUAUGCUUCAUAUCAUUCUCUUGAUUUCUGCAAAACCUGUUUAUAAUGAACCACCCUUACUAUCUCGACAGCCCUAUGCUUUAUUCUUGUCAAUUCCUCAUGGAGUUUAAUUAACAUAAAUGGCUGCAAAAACUACUUGCUUGGGCCCAUCAUUUGAUUAAUCUUCUUCAUUGCUACUGAAAGAUGUCACAACUUUUCUUCAAGGUUAUGGCAGAGAAUUCAGAGAGCGGCUAUUGGGUCGCUGGGGCAUAGUUGAUGUUGAUGACUGUUGUAGUUGUGCUAAAUUUUUGGUACGUGACUUUCAACUCGUUUUUCUGUUAGUGCUCGUUGGGGAAUAUAAUACUGUUCAGUAUGGUGAAGUUGCUUUGAUCAUCCAGGUGGAAAGUGGAAAGGUGGAUGGCACUCGUCUAUGCAUUACUGGAGGCUCAGCUGGUGGGUAUACAACCUUAGCUGCUCUAGCAUUUAGGGAAACUUUCAAAGCUGGAGCCUCCCUCUAUGGUGUGAGUUCAUUUACUUUGUAGUUGGUUUCAGAAUAGCUAAACUUUAAUCGGCGCCAAUAUCGGGAUACUGGCUUAUUUAUGGGGGCAUCAGAGGCAGGUUGCUCUAAUCUUACCCUGACAAAGCACAUGAACAUACAAAGGAGCUCUGGAUUCUGGGGAUUUAUUGCCUUCAACAUAGUCAUUGAUCAUUCUUGGUGAUUUGCUUGUUGCUAGUGAAUGAUAUAUAGCAUUUUCAUUGUGUUGGUAUCGGAUGGAUCAACUGGAAAGUCUACUAGCAAGGGCCCACUGUUAAGGACGUUACUUUCAUGACUCAUAAAGUACCAAAAGGCGUUUCAUUACAGUUUGUUACUGUGCAUCGGUCAUGGUGUUUACUUGAAAUUCUAGAUAUUUAAAUUUCCCCAUUUCAUUUGAUACUUCUAAUGAGUCAUUUAUUAAUUCAUCAUUUAUUUCUGCUAUUAAAGCAUUGAAUUUUCACAAUGUUAAAAGAGAUUAUUUUGCUGUUAUUGUGUCAAACAGAUUGCUGAUUUGAACAUGUUGAGAGCAGAAAUGCACAAGUUUGAAUCUCAUUACAUUGACAACCUUGUCGGUAAUUCAGAUAAGCUUUUGUGUGUUUCAUCUCUUCUCAGAUAAGUCUUUAUUCUGAUCAUCCAUUUGUUGCACUACAGGAUCUGAAAAGGAUUGCUACGAGAGAUCGCCUAUAAACUUUGUUGAGAAAUUUUCUUGCCCCAUAAUUCUAUUCCAAGGAUUGGAAGACCAGGUACGCUAGUCUUACUCUUUCCAAUGGUCACCUGCCCCUCUGCUGUUACUCCCCAUAAAUUAAAGAAAAACUAAAGAAAAAAAGGGGGAAGAGUCCAGUGUCUAAACGAGGGUCCUCUUUUUUCCCCCCUAAUUUAUGAAAUAUCGUCAGAUAAGUUCGACUUUUUCUUUCCAAUUGAUAAGUAGAUGUGAUCAAUGGCCUUCAGAUUUAUUUUGUACAUCUCUGGCAUUUUAAAAACUUUGCUGCUUGGCGGUUUAGCAAUUAUCUACGACAUCUUGUAGGUAGUACCGCCAGGUCAGGCUCACAAAAUUUAUGCGGCAUUGAAGCAGAAAGGUCUGCCUGUUGCAUUAGUGGAAUACGAAGGCGAGCAGCAUGGUUUUCGCAAGGUAUUGUUCUUCUGGAGUCUUACACAAACAAGUCAUUUGUUGUGUGUGCAGUGUACGGAAUUGACAUACAAUGUUUUGCAGGCUGAAAGUAUAAAAUUCACAUUAGAACAACAAAUGCUGUUUUUCGCACGUUUAGUGGGACACUUUGAUGUUGCCGAUGAGAUCGCACCACUCAAAAUUGAAAACUUUGACUGAGCUUGCCUCAUGAAGGUAAUGAUGUGCUCUUCAAAUGUUAGUAAUCUGUUGGUAACGGAGAGGAGGAUCGAAACCUUGCUUUCUACUGUCUGCAACUGUUAAUUAUACAUUGCUGUGCUACACAUGACUUCGUCCAUGCGCAGUGUUGUAUGUCCAUCCUGCUUUUAUAAUUGGCCUGAUUGCAAGUAUGAGAAUUGGUUUUUUAAUGCAAUUGUGUCAAUCAACCGUUAGGGUGGAAUAUGAUGAUCAAAUUGCCCCUCAUUCUUAAAAUCUAUUUGAUCACUGCAUUCCAGUGCAAUUGUGUGCAUUUUUGGUCCCAUUAAAUUUCAUGGGUUUUUCCGUGACCACUUACUUUUCGCUCAGCACCAAUCAAUUGACUUUUGUCACCGUAGAAUGGUCACAGGGAGAGGCGGUCCCCAAUAAGUCCAUUGGCUUUGCAGCCUCAACUUCAUGUCACCUGUUCAGGAUACUGGAAAGCUGGUGAAUUUAAUGUACUACAAAUUUGAAUCUGAACUUCCGACUAGGAGUUUCAAUAUUUGGUGUUGUAACUUCGCUGUUCCUUCAAACCAUUUGAUCGAAUGAUCUGUAGUGAGUGUGGGUGAAUUUGCUCAACAAAUUUGAAUGUGUUUGAAAUGUUUGUGGUGUCGUACCUUUCCAAUAUGUUUGCGGUAUCUUCAAACCAUUUGAUCGUGUGAUGUGGGCCUAGUCCGGUAUGAACUGAAUAUUUUUACCUAAAUUAUAUGUUAUAAGCAGGAGCAGGUAUGGGCAAUACAAAAGGCCCAACCUUCAGCCCAAUUCAAGCCCGCCUGAUAAUCACCUGGAACUAUGUGUAAUCAAUGCAGUGAAGAUGAACAUGGUUAACAAAUAUUCAGCUAGCACUCUUGUUAACAAGACCCUGACGGCACUAUUGGACGAAUUCUGCACAAAAGACGUAUGGUUAUUCAAUACUGGACCUAUGAAGUUAGAAAGCUGCAUAAGUCGGUUGAUCAUGUCCCACUCAAUGUUUGGAGGGUUUUCAUUUCUUAAUGAUCAGCAAGACUUUAAUUAUAAUGUGUAUUAUAGAUUUAAGGUAGUGUCUGUCAACUAAAUGAUGCCUACUCAAGGUUACUGCCCUUUUGCUGAAAUGAGAUGGUUACUAUAUUUGCCUUUCUUGGGGUUGUAAUUUUCAUUUUGUGGCUUACUACACUGGUUUUGAUCCUUCUGAUGUUUCUUGGGCUUUAUUUCCUAUUCAUCUUCAAUGCAUAGUGAUGUAGUGCACCUGUUUUGUGUAGGACCAUCCCCCGUCUCUUUGUUAGUAAGCAUUGUCAUGAAUAUGAAAAAGACUCAUAAUCGUAAGAGCCAACGAGAGCAUGCCAUCCACUCCAUGCUAAGUCACCACUAAUCCAUUAGAUCUUUUUGAGUUGCAGUUGAUGUGACGACCGCAACUCAAUUUUAGUCGUCACAUCAAUCGUAACUCAAUUUGAUAUUAAAUCGAAUCAUCCCUACAUGCGGUAACCCGUCUAAAUGCAUGGAUGAGCUAUCACUAAUUCUUUAGUCAGAAGAGUCUUACCUGUCGCUAUUAUCGCAUAGGAAAUUUUAAUUUCAAAAUUGAGAAGAAUAAAAAGAACCCAAAGUUCAAAAUUCUGUCUUUCUCAUCUCCCCACCUAUCUCCAACUAGUCAUUUGCUUUGGCAUCCAGCCAACGGCGGACCGGCGGUGACAGGGAUUGUGACUUCAACGCCAGUCAGAAGAGUCUUACCUGUUAUUAUUAUCGCAUAGGAAAUUUUAAUUUCAAAAUUGAGAAGAAUAAAAAGAACCCAAAGUUCAAAAUUCUGUCUUUCUCAUCUCCCCACCUAUCUCCAACUAGUCAUUUGCUUUGGCAUCCAGCCAACGGCGGUGACAGGGAUUGUGACUUCAACGCCAGUCAGAAGAGUCUUACCUGUUGUUAUUAUCGCAUAGGAAAUUUUAAUUUCAAAAUUGAGAAGAAUAAAAAGAACCCAAAGUUCAAAAUUCUGUCUUUCUCAUCUCCCCACCUAUCUCCAACUAGUCAUUUGCUCUGGCAUCCAGCCAGCGACGGUGACAGGGAUUGUGGCUUCAACGCCAGUCACCUCUCUCUCUCUCUCUCUCUCUCUCUCUUUCUCUCGCUUCUGGAAUUAAUUAUCUCUGCUUCUUAUUGAUAAAUCGACAAGUCUCAUUUGUUAUCACAUCAUAAUUUCAAUCCAUGACUUUCCCCUUAAAACUUUAUUUCAUGGCUUUGAAGUGGAGAGCACAGAAGGAAUUUGUUAAAAUGUCAAAGUAAUGAUUGUACUUUUUCACUUCCCUUCUUCCCAACAGUGACUUAGAAACCUAAGAAAAAGAUCGAAAAAUUGAAUACUUUCGGGUAUGUUUAUGGAUAUGAUUAUUAGACUUUACAAUUUCUUUUUUCCCUAUUUGCUUUUUAAAAGUACUUUGAAAUUCAUUGAUCUGUCAUUCACCCACCUGAUGUUCUCUAUAACAAACAACAGCUAUGAAUUCAUAACUUCAUAUUUCAUUUUACAAUUUACGAUGUCCUUGAUAUAGUUUAAUAGCAUUACAUAAUAUAUCCUCUUAUUUUCAUGCUGAUAACUAAAUAAGGGAAAAUCAAUCACUUUCCUGAAAAAUGAAUUUUGGAUAAAAAUAUUUCUUUCAACAUAUAUUUUUUCUUGAAACAAACGCAUGAUAAGCCUUUAGAUUAAUUUUCAUUUUACAAUUUACGAUGUCCUUGAUAUAGUUUAAUAGCAUUACAUAAUAUAUCCUCUUAUUUUCAUGCUGAUAACUAAAUAAGGGAAAAUCAAUCACUUUCCUGAAAAAUGAAUUUUGGAUAAAAAUAUUUCUUUCAACAUAUAUUUUUUCUUGAAACAAACGCAUGAUAAGCCUUUAGAUUAAUCUAUGUUAAUGUAUAACAAGUAAGUUGAAAUUGUCGAUUGACCCCUAAACAGUUAGGAUCCCAAAUAAGUCUUGUUGAAGUAGCUAAAGAUGGGAUUAGAAUCAGCCUGGCCUAGUCUUGCUUCCAAAUCUACAAGUGACCUAACUCUUUCCAAACUUUGAACUAGCCGUAAUUCUGUACACCUAAUUCUAAAUCUGAUUAUCUAACUAAUGCGGUAUCAUUUCAACGUUGUUGACCCCCCAAAAGAUUAAACUUUGUAAUCAAAUUUAUUGAUUAGUAUUAGAUAUGUGGCGUCAACAUAGAAAAUUAUUUUGUUAGCUGAAUGAGUUUAUUGACAUACAUACACAAAGCAAAUGAAACAACCUAACUCCCACGUGCCAUUAGAUCUACAAACUUUUUAGACUUACGGGCGACAAUGAUAAUUGACCUUUUUGAACUUAUUUUUCAUAUUCACGAUACUUGUAAUUUCCAUUAUCUUUAUUCCGUAGUGCAUUGGACCCUAAUCAAACUCUAUAUCCGUCCUACCGACUUUCAAUAAACAUGAGAUUAUCCCCUUACUAGCAGGUUCGACAUUAGAACGCAAAGAAAGAAAGGAAACUUUCUAGAAAAUCCAGUUUGGAGAGAACUUGAGAUUUUUAUCGAUAAUUCUAAAAGCAUUAUUAGGCAGUAGACAUGCACGUUUACGACCCCGCUAGAAAUUUUCUUCAGACGAUAUCGGCCAUAUCACUUGUAAAGCAGACACCUUCUCCAAGGCAGGAACGCAUCCUUGUUCAAACAAGGAACACAACCCUAAAGGAACACUUGCCUCGCACCUAAUUGCUCCUCUUCUUCAUCAAAAAUAAUCCUUGGGCAACUACUGGUACAAGGAAACAAGGCAACAUGUCAUGCUUGUGCCCUGGUACUUUGGCCCUAAGGACCGAAGGGAUAGCCCCACCUCACGAUGCAUUUUCCCGAAAGGAAAAAUCAGGGGAGGACCCGCACAGGGAGGAGACAGCGAGACCCAUACCCACGCCAAUUUCAAUAAUGGCCGACUUAUACUUGCGUAGGAUUUCGCCAAUAACGCCCCAAUCAUAUCUUUCUCUCUUCUUCUCCGCUUUGAUUAUCACAUCGGGCAAACUCUCAAGAGAGCAUGACUAAUGCCUGCUAGGGUUGGUGUGAAUGAAACCCCAUAUCCAGCACACAUGCAAGGAUGACUUCUGUAGUUCUCAAAGAUUGGUCCUUCUUGAACGGAUACCGGGGUCCGUAAGCGAUUGGCUCGUUCAGCGUUCGUGCAGGCUUCCACCGAUAAGCUCACUUACACUUAGGCCAUUCUCGAUCUCUUCUGCCUUUUCAAUCACUAUCGUGAAGAAACCUUAUGCUUUUGNNNNNNNNNNNNNNNNNNNNNNNNNNNNNNNNNNNNNNNNNNNNNNNNNNNNNNNNNNNNNNNNNNNNNNNNNNNNNNNNNNNNNNNNNNNNNNNNNNNNNNNNNNNNNNNNNNNNNNNNNNNNNNNNNNNNNNNNNNNNNNNNNNNNNNNNNNNNNNNNNNNNNNNNNNNNNNNNNNNNNNNNNNNNNNNNNNNNNNNNNNNNNNNNNNNNNNNNNNNNUCAUUUUUUCACUUCUUCCCUCCCCAGCCUAGGGGAGGGUAACCUUAUCUAGUCUAGGUGAGGACGGCCCUCGCUUAAGGACAACGACCGCCAUCAACAAGGCUCAAUGAUGGCCCACAAAAGGAAAAAAAGAAAAAAAAAAAGAGAAAUGGAAAAAAAUUUUUUCUUUUAUUUGUUCUGAUGUGAUUUUUUUUUUAUUCCUUUAGGGUUGCCAAAAUUAGGUGUCAACAAUGUUUAUAAAUUUCAUUAUCCUAAUUAAAAAUUUUAGAGCGAAAUUAGCAAAAGUCGAAUAGGUCUAUAUCUUUUUGGACAGAUUUUCCUAUAUUUUUGCCUCCCUUUUGUUUGGUUUCACAUGAUGAGAAAAAUAUACAAUCCAGUGACCGAAAGUUCGACAAACUCUGUCCAACGUUGUUCAUGCAAGGCUCAAACCUAGGUUAAUGAUUGAAUCUAGAACAUAUAAAGAUCUAACCUUUUGGACAGUAAAAGUAGUAUCAUGUCCAGCCCUAAUCAUUGUGCUAAUUUGAUUGGAGACCUUUAAAACAAAAGUAAACACGAGACAAUUGCAUUUUCAAAAAUAUGUGAAAAACUUAACGUACGUUUUAUUUUUUGGCCAAAUGACAUCCGUUAAGAAAAUAAGUAAUCAAAUUCAAUAAUAAUUAGACACACUUCCUUAAAAGAAAAAUUACAAAAAAGUUUUAAACUCAUUGUUUGGAUGUCAAUUCAAUAUUUAACAUUUCAAUUAAAUUAAUUUAAUAUUAAAUUUCUUGAUGAUUUACCAAUAUCGUUCUUCCUAAUUAUGGUAAAAAAAUCACUGAUGUAGACACAUGUUGUCCUAUAUGACAUAUGAACAAUUUUCUCAAUUUUUAAUAAUUAUUAUGAAUUCUAUCUCUUUUCAUGCUUUUUCACUUUUCUUUUAUUUCCUUUUUCUCCUUUUUUUUUAAAUUUUAUUUCCCGCCACUUACUUGUGGCCUCAGUGGUGGUCACCAUCACAAGGGAGGGCCCUCGCCUAGCCUAGAUUUGGCGAGAGACUCAACACCCUUGCCAAAUCUAGGUGAGGGGCCACAAGCCCUUGCAAUGGCCGGCAAGAGCAUCGCAUACCUCGUCCAAGCCCUUACUAGCCAUAGUUUAAAAUAAAAAGUAACAGAAAGAAAAGGGAAAAAAUUAAAAAAUUAUUUAAAAUUUGUGAAAUUUGUUUACGUUAACGAUUUCCUGCCAACAUUAGUUCAAAGGACUAUAUUAGCAAAUUAUCAAAAGAGUUACAAUUAAAUUAGCUAAAUUGAAAUUUUUAUAAUCAAAUUGAUAAUAUAUUAUAAGUUUAUCACUUUUGACAAUUAUAGUCAUUCAAGUAAAUCAACUCUGUAGUCUCUGUGGUUUCUCUAGAAGUUAUACUAGACUACACUAUUUAUUGUUCAUGAGUCAAUAACACUUGCAUACAUGUAGUUCUCCAACCACAUGACCAUACAAUAGUUUUCCUCUCUCCCAAAACCUUCAAGUUUAUUUCAAAUGUGCUCAAAUGCAUAUGCCACAAUUCAUGUCUCGACCAAAUGUCUGACAUCUCAACAAUGAUUUCUGUCGCCGUCUCCCUUGGGAUCUCAUAUAAGCCACUACACUUGAUUACUUUCUUUAUCACCAAGACAUCUCAAAUGGCCUUUAGAGCUUCACCUUUUGAAGUAAUUGAUGCCUAGCUUAAUCAAGGACGAUGAAGGAAAUUGGGUUAUUCUUUAACUUCGGAAUGUAUAUCAUACCAGUCAAUGUUCUCACAAUAUUGUCGUGCAUUUUGAUUAUGACAUUAUCAAAACUAGCAACAAUGCACCGAGCAUUGUGCCCUUUCUACACUGCAUUAGUAAGUAAUAUACUAGUUUUCAAGAACAUUUCAUAUCCAAUAACCAUCUAUCAAAUGAUAAAUCAUCAAUGACAAACAAAACAUAAUGAACACUACCUAAUUACGAUAUAUCAUCUAUAGACUCAACUCUAAUUCUUUUAACCUUUUUCAUUCCUAAGCUUCUUCAAGGAAUCUCAAUUAAUAUGCCUCAUAUUGCCACAAUGCCAAAAGACAACGCCACUUAUCCUAGUCCUCCAAAAUACUUAAUAUCAUCUAGCUUCGACUUUGGAACAUGCAUCAUGAUGGCAGGUUCCACGUGCAUUAUGUUGUGAAAAAGAGACUCGUGAAUAAUUUUCUAAAAGCUAUAGUGCGGCAAGAAAAUUAUUCAAAGGCUAGCCAUGCUCCAGAAACAAGAUAAUAUGAAAUAAAACAGAAUUUACAUACAUAUAGACACACACUGCCCCACUCAUUGCAGCAUUUCAGAUAACUAUCUUAUAUUUAAAUCAUUUAACUUCUAAAGAAAGGCUGUAUAUGCCGACCCUUCCUUGCUUGGAAGAAUCGUCAAUGUCUGCUUCUUUUCUUUUCUUUUUUCUAAACUUGCAGGAACGAAAUUCUAAGAAUCAUGUCAAGGCGAUAGACGGUCUCUAUAGGCACAAACAUUAGCAACUUAUAGCUCUGUUUAUUUAUAGAUAAAUAAUUGAAAACUUUCUUAAAAAUGAUCAUUUAUAUCGCUUGAAAUAAUUAGCCAAUAGAAAUUAUUUUCAUUAUCAAUAAUAAUUUAUGUCUAAAUAUUUGCAUGAAUGAUGAAAAUAUUUAUUAUAUAUUCAAAUUUAUUGACAAUAUAAGCGAUCAUUUUUUAGGAAAUUAUUUUUUAAUUUAAUCACUUUUCGUAAAACAAAUAGAGCCUAAGAUUGCACUUCAUUGGUGGAAUUGGAAUUAUCCAUUGAAGGCGUUGGGUGUCUUGGAUCCUCAUAUGCUUGUGGUCAUGCCGUCUUGAUCAGUUAGGCCUUGCUUUUCUCAAAGUCGCCAGAUUUCAUUUCGUGCUGAUGAUCACAUAAGUCUGGCAAGCAAAGCGUCUCUAAAUGCUCACAUGUGGACUAGAGGACCCCAUCAUGGACACAAUAGCCAGAAGGCCAAACGACAACGCGUUUUAGAUUGGAGAACCAUUCGGAGAUUGUUUGAUUUGCUUGCAUGAAACUCUCACUUAAAGGUUGAAGUGAUUGCAGAGCCAAAAUUGAUAAGGAUUUGCAGAAGGAGAAGAUCAUGGCUGUGGUCGGAUGACUUUUAAUCAAAAUAAAAGCGAGGUCUAGUACAACUCAUCACAUCAUCGGCACAAUCAACUAUUUCAAAACUCUAGUACAUCAUUCAAUAUUGGUCUUCAUCAGUAGUUCAUACACUUUCCGAACUCAUGAUGUUUUCACUGCUUUAUGUCAUUGAAUUGGGACUUUUUCUGCCCUUAAUCAAAAUCAUAGCUUCUCUCUAUUAUUAGAGAAAACUCUUAUAAUAUUUUGAAGCUGACAAAACUUAUCUAAGUUCUAUUAUGAAGAUUGUCAAACUUUUGUAUCAAAGUCUAUUCUACAACAGAAGUAUUCUACAACAGAAACCUGCCCACUCUGACAAAUUCCAGAUUGAACGCAAGUGAAUAAUGAAGAUUCAUCCAGAUGCGGGAUUAUCUUUCUUCCUUCAAGGGUUCGGUUUGUAUGGGUUACAUAUGGCCUUUUUUGGUUGGAAAUAUCGCCAACGAGAUUGGUUAUCUUUAUUGGAAUCAAUUUAAAUACAUCAAAUCUUUUCGGAGGGCAAGUUAAUUUGGAAAGAAUCUACUUAUGAAAACCAAGAUCCUAAUUGUAUGGACGAACAUGAUUGACAAGCUUUCAUCACAAUCUUCAAAUGGCUCGAGAUUUCCUUAAUUGAUUCUGUCCAACGGGUUGAUUGGAAGAAUUCCUUUGAAAAGUGCUAACGGUUGAGAAGGCAUGAAUGGGUAUUUAAGAAGGCCUCUCUAGUCAUUCGAUAGAGUGCGUGAAAGAAGAAUUCCAAAGUUUGAAACUUACCAUUUACUUGUUAUUUCUUACUCUGUGCUCAAAAUUGUACUCAAAAGAGAAAGACUCAAAGUGAGACUUUGUGAGAGCAGUAUAGACUCUUCACUGUGAAGUCAAUAUCACAAUAUUGUAAAUUCUCUUUUGAUUCUUAGUGGAUGUAGGCUUGAUCUAAGCAAAACCACUAUAAAUUCUGUGUUCAUUUUCUCUUCCCUAAACUCCUUUAUUUUAUUUAUUGUGAUAUACUUUUGCAGUUGAAAAUAAUUGUUAAAGUUUGAUUCUUUUUGCAAAGUCUGUAAUCAACCAAACUCAGGUUAAAAGUAAAAAUUUUCACUGCAUUUUGAAAGAAUUUGUUUUCACACCUAUUCACCCCCCUCUAGGUGUUCUUACUAGCCAUUUCAAUUGGUAUCAAAGCUUGUGUGCUUACUUUUUGAAGUGUUUUACUUCUAAGCUAAAGAUCUAGUAUUUUGGCUCCAGAUUUAGUUGAAGGUCAAGGCAACACCAGACCCCCUUACUUCAAUGGAAAUGAGUACAAUGUAUGGAAGAACAAGAUGAAGGAAUUUCUCAAAUCCAUAAAUCCUCUGGAAUGAGAUGUUGUAGAAAAAUGGAUCAACACUAAAGCAACAUUAGCUUCAGACCAAGGGAAAGAAGUUAUUAAUGCUGACAAAACAACAAGAGUUGAAAUUACCAAGAAACAAGCACUUGACAUGAAAGCAAUCUACUCUUUAUACUAUGCCUGAUCUCCCACUGAGUAUAACCGAAUUUCUUCUUGUGAAACAACGAAAAAAGUUUGGGACAGAUUACAUGUUACCUACAAAGGGAUUGACUGUGUGAAGGAAACCAAAAUAAACAUUUUGCUUAGACAGUAUGAAGUCUUCAGAAUGAAGCCUGGAGAAUCUAUUACUGAUAUGUUCAGUUGCUUUAUAGAGAUUGUGAAUGGCCUGGCUUAUCAAGGUCAACCAAUCUCAGGACCAAUGAAAAUCAACAAACUACUGCGUGGGCUUUUGAAAGUUGGAAUCAUGUAAAAACUUCAAUUAGAGAAACUCAAAGGGUUAUACCUCUAUCAGUUGACGAACUGAUAGGCACACUUCAGUUAUGUGAAGUGGAGCAGAUAAAUGAUGAAGAAUAUCCUAAAGGUAAGAAGUCAAUUGCUUUAAAGUCUAAAAUUGAUUCUGAUGAUACAGAUUCAGAUGAUGAUAUGGACGAUGAGGAGCUAGCGCUUAUGAUUAAAAAAUUGAAAAAGCUGAAUAGAAAGGGAAGAAGAUUCGAUUGGAAAAAGCAGAGCAUGCAGAAUUUCCAGAAGAGACCGACGAAAGAAAAUGAAACUAGCAAAGAUGUAAUAUGCUUCGAAUGCAAUAAAAAAAAAGAGGGCAUAUGAGACCAAACAGUCCAUUGUUGAAGAAGAAGAAAGAAAAAACUAAGAAGUACAAAAAUUAUCUCAAAGCUAAAACUUUGUAUGACAUCGAGUGUGAGGAAAGUAAUAUGCAAACAUUUAUCUGAUGGCUCAUUCAGAAUCAGACUUAGAAUUAGAGAUGACUCUGAUUUAGACUCGGACAAAAAAAUUGAGGUUAGUGACUCAAAAAUUCUUGUCAAAGUCUUUAAGUACAUAGAUGAACUUUGUCUCAGUCUUAAAUCCUCUCUUAAAAGGAUUUUUGAACUAAAAAAUGAGAAUUCUAAGCUCAGGCAACAAGAAGUUUCUUGAAAAGAAAAGUUUGAAAGUCUGAAUAGAAGUUUUGAUAAUUUGAAAGAAAAUUUAGAUUCUCUUUCGAAGGAAAAUGCUAUUUUAAAAAGGGACAUUUCAAGUAUUACAAAAAGAUUUUCAAAAAGAUCCGAAAAACUGGAGAAAAUUCUUUCAACCCAAAUUUCCUAUUUUAACAAAUCUGGUUUGGGUAUGACUUCAAAAACUAUUCAAUUAAUUGAUUUUCCCAAAGUAAAUGAGAGAAUUAAACAAAGACCUGCAAGGGCAUUUUACAAAAAUCAUUUUCAAAUUUUUUUUUGUAAAACCUGUUGACCGAAGUGCACUCAGAUAUUCAAAGUGUAACAACUCAGAAUAUUUCGAGAAAGAAUGUCCCAAGAUUUAGAGACCGGUUAAGAACUGGGCAAAGACUGUCUUUAAUACUAACUCUCUUAGACCGAAGAAAAUUUGGGUACCAAAGAAAGUUUGAGUUUUUCUUCUGAUCAUAGGUCACUAUCAAGAGAAAGAUCAAAUGGUAUUUGGAUAGUGGCCGUUCGAGGCAUAUGACAGGAGAUUCAAGCUGCUUCAUAAAGCUUGUUAGACUAAAUGGAGGAAAAGUUUCUUUUGGAGGAAACAACAAAGGAAAGAUUGUAGGUUAUGGAACUGUGAAGAUUGGAAGCCUAACUAUCAAUAAUGUUUCCUUGGUGGAAGGCUUGAACUACAAUCUUUUGAGCAUAAGCCAACUUUGCGAUAUUGGUUACAAAAUAAACUUUCAAGAAGGCAUUUAUUCUGGAACGAGUUAAGACUUCUCUCAAUCAUUUACUAGACAAAGGCAUGACAACAUUUACAUUCUAGACGUAAACCCAGAAAGUGCUCAAUGGCUUAUUUCUAUUCAAGAUGAGGCAAAUCUCUUGCAUCAGAAGCUUGGUCAUGUUAAUAUGAAGCAAAUUGCUAAAAUUUCUUUUAAGAAGCUGAUUUGAGAACUUCCUAAUCUAGCUUAUCAGAAGUCUGAAUUAUGCACUCCCUGUGUUUUAAGAAAACAUGUCAGAAGUUCCUUUAAAUCUGUAAAUCAAGUUUCUACCAAUCGAGUAUUACAGCUUCUUCAUAUGGACCUUUUUGGACCAACCAGAACUUAGAGUAUUGGUGGAAAGAAAUAUUGCCUAAUAAUCGUAGAUGAUUACUCUUGUUUCUCUUGGGUAUACUUUCUGGCGAGUAAGUCUGAAAUCUUCUCUUAUUUCUUAAAGUUUGCUAAGAAUGUUCAAAAUGAAAAGGGUUAUGCUAUUUCGAGCAUACAAAAUGACCAUAAAGGUGAGUUUGAAAAUCCGAACUUUGCGAAGUUUUGUGAUGAAUAUGGUUUUCAGCAUGUUUUCUCUUCUUCAAACACUCUAAAACAAAAUGAGGUUGUGGAAAGGAAAAACAGAUCCUUGCAGGAAAUGGCCAAAACUCUCUUAAUAGAUAGCAAUAUAUCCUCUUGAUUUUGGGCAGAAGCAGUCUCUACUAUUUGCUACAUUAUCAACAGAGUAUUCCUAAAGCAUAUUCUAGAGAAAACUCCUUAUAAAAUAUAUAAAGGAAAAAAGCCUAUUGUUUCCUACUUUCAUGUCUUUGACUAUAAAUGUUUUAUUCUGAAGAAUCCGAAUGAUCGUUUUGGAAAGUUCGAAGAAAAAUCAGACGAAGAAAUCUUCCUUGGCCAUUCUACAUCAAGCAAAGCAUAUAGAGUCUUUAACAAGAAAAAUCAUUCUAUGGAAGAAUCUAUGAACGUCAAGUUUCAGGAUUAUGUGCAUAAUCAACCAGAUUAGACUCAACUUGAAAAGUCUAAACUUGUUCUAGACUUAACAAAGUCUACUUCCCCCGAAGAGGUUCAAACUUCUGGAGUACAGCAACAAGUAGACUGAGAAGAUUCAACCAAAGCAGAGGAUUAACAGACUUUCAAACCAAAUAGCAACCGGAAGCACAAGUCAAGUCAUCCCAAAGAACUCAUCAUUGACAACAUUGAUGAAGGAAUUCGUACUAGAUCUAAAGGGAGAGAAGAGUCCAGUGCUCUAACACUUGUUUCUGAAAUAGAACCAAAAAGAGUAGACGAAGCCCUGUCUAAUGAAAGCUGGAUAGAAGCUAUGUAGGAAGAACUCAAAUAAUUUAGCACCAACGAUGUAUGGGAGCUAAUUCCAAAACCCAAAGGCAAAUAUGAGAUUGGAACGACAUGGGUUUUCAGGAACAAGAUGAUUGAGAAAGGAAAAGUGAUUAGAAACAAAACAAGACUCGUGGCAAAAGGACAUACACAAGAGGAAGAGAUAGACUAUGAUGAGUCCUAUGCACCAGUAGCAAGGUUAGAAGCAAUUAGAUUAUUACUUGUUUUUGCAUGUUAUAAAAAUUUCAGGUUAUUCCAUAUGGAUGUUCAAAAGUGCAUUCCUCAAUGGGUUCAUACAAAAAGAAGUCUAUGUUAAACAACCACUAGGAUUUGAAGAUCCAAAAAAGCUAGACUCAGUCUACAGAAUGAAAAAGGCCAUGUAUGGACUGAAGCAAACACCUCGAGCCUGGUAUGAAAGGUUGAGUAAGUUUUUAAUUCAAAAUGGUUUUGAAAAAGGAAAAGUUGAUACUAUUUUGUUUAUAAAGAUAGAAGGAAAAUGUUUUCUACCGGUACAAAUUUAUGUAGAUGAUAUUAUAUUUGGUUCUUCUAAUGAAAGUCUCUGUAAGAAAUUUUCAAGGUCUAUACAGGAUGAAUUCGAAAUGAGCAUGAUGGGUGAGUUAACCUUAUUUCUAGGAUUGCAAGUCAAACAAUCGAAGAAAGGUAUAUUCAUUCACCAAGAGAAAUAUGCCAAAAAUCUCAUCAAGAAAUAUGGAUUGGAGAAUUGCAAGAAAAUAGAGACACCUUCUUCAAAACUAGACAAUGAUGAAGAAGGGAAGAAAGUAUAUCAGAAGCUAUACAGAAGCAUGAUCGGUUAUCCUCUCUACCUUACUGCUUUUAGACAUGAUAUUCUAUUCAAUCUGUGCAUCUGUGCAAGAUUUCAGUUUGAUCCAAGGGAAUCUCAUCUAGCUACUGUAAAAUACAUCAUUAAAUAUGUUGCGACUUGUCCAAAGCUAGGUUUAUGAUAUCCAAAAGAAUGAGACUUUACUCUACUUAAAUAUUAUGAUGUUGAUUUAGCCAGUAGUAAAAUCGAUAGAAAGAGCGCAUCUGGUACAUGUCAACUGUUGGGAAAUAUGCUAGUAUCUUGGUUCUCAAUGAAGCAAAGUACUAUAGCAUUAUCAACAGCAAGAGCAGAGUAUGUUGCUCUUGAGAGUUGUUGUUCUCAAAUUUUAUGGAUAAGACAACAACUAAGAGACUUUAGAAUAGAAGAAUCCUCCACCGAGAUUAGAUGCAACAACACAAGUGCUAUUAAUCUCACUAGGAACACAAUUAUUCAUUCAAGGGCGAAGCAUAUAAAGAUUCGACAUCAUUUUAUAAGGAAUCAUGUUCAGAAUGGCGAGAUUCUAGUUCAAUUCAUUGAGUCAAAGAAUCAAUUGGCAGAUAUUUUCACGAAGCCUUUGGAGAAAAACCUAUUUGAGUCUAUUCGUAGUAAGCUGAAUAGUAUCUCUCCUAUCAAUUAAAGUCUGAAGUUGGUCAGACUCAGAACUUAAAGAAGCUACUGCAGUUGAGAAUCUCUCAAAUCUAGGUAUUUUAUUUUUAGUAUGAAAAUGUAUGAUGAACUGAAUUGUCACUUGCCUGUUUUAAUUUCAGAAAUUAGUAUUUUAUUAAUAAUUUUUGGAUUUUGAAUUUUAGCAGUUACCUUUUAAAAUCUUGUUUUGAAAAGGCAUUUUUUUGUGACGUUUCGAAUACCCCCUUUUGUUGUGACGUUUCAUUUUCCUUAAAAACCUUUCAGUAUUUCUUUCAAGCACAUCCUUUCAAAACCCUAGAAUACCGAUUCUCUCUCACUCUCAUUUUUACUCUCAAAUCCCUUAUGCAAGUUUCCACCUUUUUCACUCGAACAUGUCUUUGAAAUCUUCCAAGUCUGCAUCCAUGUCGUACCAAAGGAAAUCCUCUCGGAUCGCUAGUCAAGGUCCUCGAAGCAUGCUAGAAGGACUAGUGCAUUUCGAUCUCAUUGAAGAAGGCUCUCCAUAGAAAUCUCUACAGAACUCUUCGAAGAACUCUCCACGGAACCCUCCGCACCAAUCGUUGGAAGAGGAAGUUGAACAAGACGCAGUUCCUCUCUGAACUUUGACACCCCAGGUUCUUUAUAAGCAUUAUGGUUAUUUGAAACAGGGCGGUACUCCAAUGGCCUUUAUCAUUGAUUUUCUGAAAAGCCAUGGACAUGGGAAUGAAACUGUUUUCUUAAAAACCACGGAAAGGAUAGGAGUGGCACCAAAGGGUUUGGUAGAGAAAAGCUUUUCUAGAUUUUCAUUAUGAUCCUAGAUUUAGUUUUGAGAAUUAGCCUGAAACUAAGGAUGAUGAUGAGCACAUGUUUUCGAAUUUUCAACCCAGGAUGGGUGUAACUGCUGAUGUGCCUGGUGAAAGAACGAAGAUGUUUCGUUCUAAGGAGCAUAAAAAGGUUUAUGCCCAGAUGCUGACCCCAGGGGUGAUAAACCCUCGAACAGUUGAUUUUGACUUUUUGGACUCAAUUAAGGUUAACUUGAGGGAAAAGUUGGCAUUUCUUCAACUUGAGAAAUUCUAUGCUAAGAUGGUUGUGGCGUAUCCAAAAUUGACAGCAUACAUCUACUUGAAUCUAUCUUUCCUUGACCAAAAUCGCAUUCACUUUACUUUUUGUGAUAAAGCUUUUGUUGUAGAUGUUGACAUUUUGGCUGAUAUUCUAGGAGUGGAAAGAUAUGGUUUUCAACCAAUCAACGCCUCCAUUGGUCAAGCCACUAGAUUCCUAGUAAAAAAUAGACUUCCAAGUGGAGGUAUUACUUACUCUUGACUGCCAACAUCGAGCGUUCUGUUCCACAAAAUUGUUAUCAACUGCAUCAGACUCAAGGCUGCCUCAAAGACUGAUGUCUCAAGAUUUGAGGCACGAAUCAUGUGGGCAAUAUGCAAUGGGAUGCAUUUCUCACUUCCUCAUACUAUCAUGCUGCACAUGUACAGGACUAUUAUGAAAGAUAAAGGCCAAUUGCCCUACUCUGCCUUGGUUACAAAGCUAUUCCGCAUUUUCAGAUCCAGUUUCCUACUUCUCUUUGUUCCAGAACUAUUGCUCCUAUGGAAAUAGGAAUGAAGAUGAUUUCGAAAAUGAGGCUGAAGGAUUGACUAAGGCUAUUGAGCUUUUAAAAAAGGAUUCCUCGAGCAAAACUAAGGAAAAUCAUGCUAUUGCAAGAAAGCACAAAGGUAAGGAAGUUGUGCAAGAACCUGUAAAGAAAAUGAGAUCACUUAUCCUGCAAAAUGAAGAGGAUGAAGAUGAUUUGACCAUUUCUACCAUUGCUCUAAGGAAUUUUCAAGGUGGUUUUGAGAAAUCAAAGGAAAGAGGAGGAAGAAACAAAGAAGAGGAAGAAGAGGAAGGAAGAGCAGAGCAAGAAGAAGCAUUAGAAAAAGAAAAAGAAGAAGCAAGAGCUGAUAAUGAAAAAGAAGAAGAAGGUGCUUCUGCAAAGAAGGGUGACUCUAAUGAAGAAACUAUUGCAAUAACACUAUCAGAGGAUUCUAAAGCAACUAGGGAUGACCCUACAAAAGUACGAACUGAGAAAGAACAUCAUUCUCAUUUUGGAAUAAAAAAGGCACAAGAAGAAGGAGUUUCUUCUCCACCCGUAGGGACAGAAACAUGGGGAGUUCAUGAGAAAACAGAGACUUCUUCUCCACAUAUUGCGAGUGAUGGUAUAAGCAAAUCUCCUGCAGACCCCAAGGAUGUUUUUGCAUCACAAUUUCCUGAAGUUGAGGCUGAAGAGUCCACUCCAAAUCAGGGAGAAAGACAAACUACUCUCGAUCAAGUUGAUGUUCCCUCAUCUCUCAAUUCUCCAAGAAUUCAAUUCGCUGAAGCUAGUGCUCAAACUGAACCAAAUGCAGACUAUCCAAUGUUGGUAGAGCUCCUUUUGAAGGUUAAAGCUCAGCAAUAUGCGAUGGAGAUUGAGAUCCAGAAGCUUCACACUGCCUUGAGAUCUACUUCAAAUUUUCUCACUGGCAAGGUAUAAUCUCUAGACAUUCAAGUUCAGACUUAAAAUUAGCAGGUUUCACAAACUGUUGCCAAGGUUGAGGAUGUUCAGAAGCUGAAGGAGACAGUACAGAAGCUGGAGGAGACAGUGCAGUCCAUGGGGAAUUUCCAACUCGUUUGAGUACCUAGACAAACCUGAUUCCAUUUACCCUUUUAAUUCAUUUUGAACUUUCUCUUUCUUUUUGCUGUUAACGAAAAGGGGGAGAAUGAGUGCAGAUUUAAACUUUGAACUAUUUGCAGAUUCGAUUUGUUUGGACUUGUUUGGAUUGAACUUGUCUGUUUAUUCUGCAGUAACCUUUUGUGGUUGUGAUUGUUAUUAUGGAUAUAUGCAUUGAAUCUUGUUUAAAUUUUCAAGAUUAACAAGUUUUCUAUGGUUGCAGAAUCGAUGUUAUCCAGAUUCUUAACAAUCUGUUUUUAUAAGUUAUCAUGUACUGCUGAAGUAUUAUUUUGCUGGAUAUAAGACUUUAAAUCUGCAGGAAAGUUUUGUCACCAUAAAAAAUGGGGAUAUUGUUAAAGAAAACUCCUAUAAUGUUUUGAAGUUGACAAAACUUAUCUAAGUUCUAUUCUGAAGAUUGCCAAACUUUUGUGUCAAAGUCUAUUCUACAAUAGAAGUCUGCCCACUCUGACAAAUUCCAAACUAAACGUGAGUGAAGAAUGAAGACUUAUCCAGAAGUGGGAUUAUCUUUCUUUCUUCAAGAGUUCAGUUCGUAUGGGUUAUAUAUGGCAUUUUUGGUUGGAAAUAUCACCAAUGAGAUUGGUUAUCUUUAUUAGAAUCAAUUUAGAUACAUCAAAUCUUUUCAGAAAGCAAGUUAAUUUGGAAAUAAUCUACUUAUGGAAAUCAAGAUUUUGAUUGUAUGAGCGAACAAGAUUGACAUGCUUUCAUCACAAUCUUCAAACGGUUCGAGAUCUCCUUGAUUGAUUUUGUCCAACGGGUUAAUUGGAAGAAUUCUUUUGGAAACUACCAACGGUCGAGAAGGCAUGAAGGAGUAUUUAAGGAAGCCUCUCCAGUCAUUCAAUAGAGUUCGUGAAAGAAGAAUUCCAAAGUCUGAAGCUUACCAUUUACUUGUUAUUCCUUACUCUGUGCUUAAAAUUGUACUCAAAAGAGAGAGAGACUCAACGUGAGACUUCGUGAGAGCAGUACAGACUCUUCACUGUGAAGUCAAGAUUACAAGAUUGUAAAUUCUCUUUUAAUUCUUAGUGAAAUCCAGCCAGAAAGCCGACAGCGUGGGAUAGUGAAUGUAGGCUUGAUCUAAGCCGAACCACUAUAAAUUAUAUGUUCCUUUUAUCUUCCCUGAACUCCUUUAUUUUAUUUACUACGAUAUACUUAUGCAAUUGAAAAUAAAUGUUAAAGUCUUAUUCAUUUUGCAAAGUCUAUAGUCAAUCAGACUUAGGUUAAAAGUAAAGUUUUUCACUACAUUUCGAAAGAAUUUGUUUUCACACUUAUUCACCCCUCUCUAGGUGUUCUUACUAGCCAUUUCAUCUACAUCAGUUGUUAAUAUGAAUUCCAAUGAUCUAUGCAGGGUCCAACUUAUGCAACACACAUGAAAUCUUUAGCCCCUUGUACCAUCUUUACCUUGGCAUUGUUUUGAUUUGUCUAACUUCAUAGAUGGACAAGAGUGCACGAACUCUCGCUCGACAAUCAUGGAACUAACUUGUGAACUUAUGUAAGUUGGUCUAUGGAAAUCACAAUUAUUGCAGUUGUCCAAAACCUUGCAUCCUAUCUCUGGUCUCCAGUUUCUCAAGAUUGCUGAACUUUUUAUUUUUUUCAAAUUGAAAACCCCAUAAAGCCCCCACAAUAAUCUUUCUAGCAUCACAGGAAUUCAUGGAUGACAAUGCACUUGGACCAGAAAUAUGAUGCCGACGCAAUUAUGCUUCUUUCUAAUUAGUCAUAAUCACACCAAAGGGGGCCCUUCUUAUUGGCACUGUACCUGUUUUUGCUGGGACAUUUAUUCCAAAAGAUGCACAAAUUUUUUUGAGGGUCCAAAAAAAUAAAUGCCCGUCGCGACCCUCCCGAGGGUGAAUUACCUAAAGAAGACUAAUGGAUUACUAAGUCCAAAGACUUGGCACGGACCCUCCCAAGUCUUACCAAUCGCGACUUGAUGUUAAGAAAUUAAUCUUUUCAAACAUGCAAUUAUACUCAAUUUGGAGCCGCCACUAACCAAUUAGGGCUGGUUAGAAACCCAAGUAAAGUAUGGGAGAAUACUUUACUAUUGCGAACCAGAGAUUCAGUAGGUUCGGGGACAUGGUUACGCUAGAUUAGUCUAACGCACUUUCGGUACCUUUUAUUUUUAUUUUAAAAAUAUUUUGCAGGCAAUGUUGAUUAAUUUUAACUUAAGCUACUAACAUACAAAUGGUGCUCAUGCGGGUGCACAAUCAAUAAAAUAACAUUCAAUAAAAAAUGCUAAGAAAAAUGCAUGCCCUAAACAUGAUAUCUAAAUGACAUGACACCUAAUUUUUAUUAUUAUGCAAUCUUAAUCUAAAUUUAAUAUGCAUGAAUUUUACUUUAAUGAUAUAUGAAAUGCGAUUUAUAUGGCAUAAUUUGAACUAUCACCAUAUGUAUACAAUCUAAUUUAUAUAAUCCUAAAUAUGCAUGUGCUACGUGAUAUGGGAUGAAUGACAUGGUAUUUCUACAUGCAUGCUCUUUUAUGAUUUUCUUUUAUGAUGAUUCAUUUUUUAAUGCAUAUAUGCAACCUAUGCUAAAUAAUGAUGAUAUGAAAUGAGAUUAAUUAUGAAUUAACCUAUUAACUAAUCAAGGAAAUGAUCUUUAGUUUUUUUUUAAUGACAUAAUGUUUUUUUAUUGAAAAGAAGAUAACUUAAUGGUGCAAUGAUCAUCUUUUAGCAUUUUCUUUUUUAUUAAAAAAAUUAAACUAUAACUCAUAUGGCAUGCAUAACAUUUUUUUUUUUGUUCCUCUUUUGUUUUACUAAAUGAAAAUUGACUUAAUCUAAAAAUGUCGAGGUGUGUUGCUUUAAUAUGAAAUGUGCAUGGACCUAAAUACCUAAGUUCAGAUAUGACAAUAUUUUACUAAUAAACAAAUCCUAAUUAAACCUAUUGUGCAAAUUAAUUAAUAUGAACCUAAUAUUUUUUGGAUUCUUUUUAUUGAAAUUCGGAAUUAGUAAAAAAAAAACUAAUUAGACUAACUAAAGUGAAUGAUAUUCUAAUUUAUUUUAGGAAUCAAUUUAACUUAAACUAUAUCUUAUCUUAAAAGCUAUAUAAAAAAAAAUCAAGACAUGCCAACAUUAUUUAAAAUUAGCCUUAACAAAAAUCACCCAUCUAAAAGUAUGAUCUAAAAAUUAUAAUACUAUAAAUGCAAUUCUAAUUUACUAACCCUAAAAAUACAGUCCUAAUUUACGAAACCUAUAUGCUCUAAUGCAAUAUUUAGAUUUUUAUGUACUUUUUGAUUUUUUUGAUUUUUUUAAUCUUUCCAAACAAGUAGUUAUUUUAAAAGAAUGAAGAUAAGAAUUAAAAUAACUGAAAAAAUAAUCCGUUGUCUCACAGAUUAAAUUAACAAUUAUUUUAACUUUAUAAUGAUUUAACAAUUGAAAUGCUAUCAAAAUUCCUAAAAAGUUAAAGUAAUUAAAAAAAUGACUCGACGUCUUACGGGUCAAAUUAAUAAUUACCAUAAUUUGGGAUAAAACACCUGCAGUUAAUGCCUACGAGAUUUAUAAAAGAAAAGCACAUCUCAAUAUUCUAAAUUGAACAUUAAUAACAAAAUAAAUAAAAUAAGAUGAAAUCUAGUGAAAAGUAAGAAUAAAAAUUAAAAAUUAAACUACCUAAGGGAAGGUGAACAGUAGGAUCGAUGGGGUGACAACGUGCAGCGAAGGAUGGCCGGUUUCGGAGCGGGCGAGAGGGACAGCCGGCAUCGGAUCUCCGGCGAGGGCUGGGUGGCGGCAGCAGCAAGGGAGGCGCGGCGUCAGUGACCGGCGAGCAGCGGUUGGGUCGUGGGUCGCUGUGGUGAUGGUGAGCAGUGACGUCGGGGUGAGCUCACGGGUAGAGGCGCAGGCGAGCUGCAAAUCGCGGGUCACGGGCUGCAGGAGCGACGGUGGCAUCGGGCGAGUGGAAUGAUGGCAUCGUGGUGGGAUCGUGGGUCGCCGGAUGAGGCGGUGCUGGUGAGGUGAUCGGUGCGGCUCGGUGGCUUCGCGGUUGCGGGUGGAGGGCGGAGGUGCAGGUGCGGCGGAUCUAGGCGGAGGGUCUGAGCGGAUCGGGAAGCAGCGUCGCCGGCAGAGGAGCGGCGGUCGGCGACUCGGAGGUGGCUGGUGGCCCGGGCAGCAGGUGGUGUCCGGUGCUGUUAAUCGGAAGGUGGAGGCACCACAAUAGUCACGGUCGAGAGGAAGAAGAUAGCAGUGUUAUGCUCUUUUCCCCUUUUCCUGCUGCUGGGUCCCGCUGAUCCCCUCUCUCUCUCUCUCUCCCUCUCUCUCAAGUCUCCCUCACGUCAUCUCCCUCUCUGCCCCCUAUACACUUUCCCUUUUUAAAAAAAACGAAACCUCUCUUCCCUUUCCUCUCUUUUCACUUUUUCUCCUUUUUUUUUUUUUUUCGAUCCAGAGAAAGCCCCUCUGGUCACUCGGUUCUGAAGCCUCGCCUUUUAUAGUGAAAGCCCUCAAAGUUGUUUUUGCAGGCGAGAUAUUCACUCAACGACUCCAACAAUAAAAAGGCUCCAAAAUAAAAUAAAAACUGAAUUUUUUUGAAUUUUGAAAUGAAGAUAUAUUUUCAAUAAAAAAUUUCCAAAACCGAAUUUUUAUUUUAUUUAUUAUUUUCUAAAAUAUUAGGUGUCAAUAGUUACCCCUCUUUGAAGGGAAGCUUGUAGAGGUUUCUUUCAAAGAUAAAUGACACCUAAAUUUAGAUUAUGCAAAAUGAAUGCAAAAUGAAAAUGAAAUGCAUAUGCAAAUGUAUAUUGUAAUGAAUUUUUUAUUUAUUUUAGAAAUGGACUCAAAUAAAUGCAAGGUCAUGCAAUAGAGAAUGCCAUGUAAAUGUAAUGAUUUGGUCAAGAACAUAUAUUUCUAUGUGUUCAUGCUUAAUGAAAUGCAAAUGCAAAGAAGAACACGUAGCUGUCAUACUUAUCUGGAGAUUCAUAAAAGUAUUAUUAGGUGUGAAAUGAUUCCUAUGAGACCAGACCAACAUCUGGAAAUCUCUUCAAAUAAUUGAAAGGCUCAAAGUCUUUAGAGAUCUGAAACUCUCAUCAGAUCCCAAGCACUUGGAAAUCACAUCAGAUGUUUGAAAAGACAAAUACUUGGAAGUCACAUCAAGCAUUUAAAGAUUCAAAUAUCUGGAAUUCAUGCUGAACAUUUGAAAACAUUUACUAAACAUCUGGAAAUCACAUCAGGCGUUUAGAAGGACAAACACUUGGAAGUCACAUCAAGCAUUUAAGGGUUCAAAUAUCUGGAGUUCACAUUAAACAUUUGAAAAUAUUUUACUAAACAUCUGGAAAUCACAUCAGAUAUUUGAAAAGACAAACACUUGGAAAUCACAUCAAUCGUUUAUGGAUUCAAAUAUUUGGAACUCAAACUAGACAUUUGAAAAGAUUUUAUAAAUGGGUACUUGAAAUUCUCAUCAAGCACCAAGAUGACUGAACAAACUUAGGGCUUCAAAGACAAAUCCUUUGGUCUUUGAGGAAAAAUUCACUUCAUUUAAAAAAAAAAAAAAAUCAAUGAAGGUCCAUACAUGAUGGCUUUUUCAAACUUCCACCAGGAAAAAUUAUCAAGACAAUUUUCACUAAGCUGUGAAUCUCUUGAACAUGCUAAAUGAGACAUUUUUGGUGUGAAAAAUGUUUUUUUCACUCGCUCUCAUUUAGAAGGGGUUAUUUGUCCCGACCAUUGAUGUGGGAAUAUAUCACUCAAUCUUAUCAUCAUUUUGUCGACAAGAGUUUGAAUUUUCUUGCAAGCAGUACGACCUUACCAAUCUGAAAGGUCUUUGACAAGGAUUGUAGUGUGGAUUUGGUCAAUGGCUUAGCAAAAGGGACUAUUUGAGUCAAAGCAAUUGAAAGAACAAUUAUGUAAUCAUCUUCAGGUUUACAAGUCAAGAACCCUGCAAAAUGAGAAAGAAAUAAUCUUGCUUGCACUUCUUCGAGCAAUGCUUAAAACAUGUGAACUCCCAUGUUAAUUCAAGUGCCAUAAUCUAAGAGACUUUGUAAGGGACGUAACAUAGGCUGGGUUUAUAGGUUGAGAAACGAAAGGAUCGUUAGGCUCAAAGAUGUGUAUAGGGGUCAAAGUUGGUGAUCAUCUUGACAUUACCACCAAUUUUCUUCGCCACGGAUUGUCUUCUUGAUAGAUUUCUUUAUUGGCUCAAGAGUUUAUCACUGAUGCCAAUGAUUAUUCAACUGGAGAUCUUUUCUCAACAUUUUUUCUUUUAAAAUCAUUUUCUUUGAUGAUGGGCAUCAAUCAGGCACACCGCUUUUUUAUAUGCCCCCCAAUUCAUCAGUCAUUUCUCUCUUCUUUUCAUGGGCAUUAGCCUUGCUUUUACCAGGCACACUGCUUUUUCAUACCCCUUAGUUCUAUUUUGAUUUCAAUUCUUGCGCACAGUGCGUGUGUCAAGUAUACUUUAAAUGACACUCGAACCUUCAAGGGUCUUCAUCUGUCUCUUGCCUUGCCCCAGUGUGGGGGAUGAUCACCAACUGGGUUUAAAGAAAUGAAAUUGCAAGCUCAAGUGGGCUAUGCAAAGGAUAUAAGUGUGUAGGAUAGUGAAAGAAACGCUCUUCGUCAUCCUAAGGUACUUAAAUUACUACAUGAAUUCAAUGUAAUAGCACGACUUGAAGAUUGAUACAAGUGAGAGUAAGAAAAUUUCCAUCCAUUUCACUCUCCUUCAAUGUCAACUUACCUCUAUUUGCCCCGACGUGGGGUGGUUCUUGACAGGGGUAGAAGUUCUUCAAGUAUUUAGGCUCAAAGAAGGGUUAAACAAGGGUUCACUGUAGAGAAAUGAACUGCCCCUCGUCAUUUUAGUUGUCGUACUUCAUGCAAGAAAACUCUUCAUCUUGAAACACAAAAUGUUUCCAUACUCACCUCACAAUGUAUAGACAGGGGACUGUGUAUGGGAUUAGGCUUGCCUUUCACACCUCAUUUAGCAUGCUCAAGUAACUCGACAUCUUUCACUGAAUUAUCUAUUUUGAUAAAUUUUAAGUGGAAUUGACGAAUUGCACAUCAUGUGAAAACAUUUUGAAAUGAUAAAAAUGCCAUGCUCUAUUCUUGCACAUCAAAAGAAAAAGUCAAAGAUGUUAAAUGUCUGUGUCUUGCUCCUCUUUGCAAGGAAGCUCAUAGAGGUUCCUUAAAUGUGUGCAGGGCUACACCUGAAACAUAAAGCAGAUAAUUAAAUGAAACAAACAGGGUAAAUUAGAUGCAUGCUGGAAAAUUAUUUUAUUUUGAAAAAAAUUUCAAGGGAACAUGAAGAAGCACAGCCUUCAGAAUUAGCUCCUUGCUGUUUUCUUUUGGGUAGGAUUUCAUCACAGGAUUAGUUUGGUGUACUUCAACACACCCUUAAAACACGAAAAUCUCCAUGUAUUUUAUUGGAUGAAAAGCAAAUUACAUUAUUGAAAUAAGGGAAAUCCUAGAAUUGAAAAUGCAAAUAUGCAAAUAUGGAAAGCAAUAAAGACUCCUGCGCAGAGGAGUGUGCAAAUAAUUAAAACUUUCCUACUCUCGAGCUUUGUCGAUGGCAAACACUAAAUUCUCUUCAAACAGUUCAGUCAUUCCUUCGAAUGCGUCAUCAAAGCUCUCAAUCUUUGGAGGUGCGGGAUCAUCUAUGCCACCCCAUCCAUCUGGGAUGAUAUCUCGUGGGUCGAAAAUAUGAGCUGAGAGGAGCCGAAUACUUUACAUAGUAAUCGAAUUUGCCACUUGGUUGCCCCAGGGUGUCCAUCACUUCUGCUUCCUCAUGCAUCAUCUGAAACAUGUUGGGCUCAGCAUCAAAACUGAAAAUGGCAUUCACAGCUUCUGGGUGGUCAGGGAGUGGGUUAUUCUAGAUGUUCGGCCGUGCAUCGCGGAAUGAGACCACCUUGGCAUCCAAAAGAUUUUGGAUUUUGUGUUGCAACGUAUAACAAUCAUCAACAGAAUGCCCUACCUCUCCCAUAUGAUAAGCACAUGUCUUGGACGGAUCAUAGUUGGGGAAUCGCUCGGGAUUAGGUCGCUUAGGCUCUUUAGCGAGUAAUCCUUUCUUCUGAAGGGUUGGCAAGAUCUUGGACAAUGGCUUAGGAAGAGGCAUAAAUUGACACAUGGAAGAGUUCUUCUGCUGGCUAAAGAACGGUUGUGCUCCUCCUUGUUAGGUGUUUGGGGUAGGGCGAGGUGGUUGAACAUAAGUUGCAUUAACCUCCACUACAGGUUCCUUAUCCUUCUUGGUUGAGAUUCUCCCAUACAAGCUGGUUCGAUUAGACGCCCAUCCAUCACGCAAUGCUACUUCAAUUCGCUCACCGACAGGGAUUAGUUGUUUGAACGACUUGGCAGUCGAUCCCAGCAUCCGAUUUCGAUAUUCAGGCGGGAGUGUCUUCAUGAACAAAUCCAUUAGCUCCUUUUCUAUCGGCUCCGGAGUAAUUUGAGCAGCUACGGUCCUCCAUCUCGUGACGUAUGCCUUGAAAGAUUCCGUCAUCUUCUUCUCAGUGCGAAGUAAAUCUUCUCGAGAUGGAGUAACAUCAAUAUUAUACUUAUAUUGCUUGAAGAAGGCAUCGGUCAAAUCCUCCUAAGUCUCCAGCAGAUUAAUCUUCUUCAUAAUGUACCAUUGAAGCGCCGGUCCUGUCAGGCUUGCUUGAAAUUGUUGAAUCAUCAAGGGGAUGUUAUCAACAUAUUGGGUCAUUCUGACCACAUACGUCUGCAAAUGGAUCUUCGGGCAAGAGGUGCCAUAAUACUUUUCAAAGUCUGGCAUUUUGAACUUCUUUGGCAUCUUGAUCUUUGCAUAAUGAGACAAAUCAGUUGGGUCUUGGGUAAAUGAACCCUGUAGCUGUUUAAGUUUCUCCUCAAUUUUUAUCAAGCGUUUUUCCUGCUCAGUUUUUGGUACAGCCGAAUGUAUCACUUGUACCUCAUCAUCAACAACAAUUUGAGGUGCGUCAGUAAUUUUAACCCUAGAGGGAUCCUCAGAUGUAGAUGGCCCAACUGUGGAUGUAUUCUUACCUUUAUCUCUUGGAUCAACCGUAUUCUUGCCUUUAUCUCUUGGAUCAACCAUGGGAGCAUGUUGUGGUAACACCACUUCAACUUGCGAAGCUGGUGGAGUAGUGUUUGCUUGGAGAGAAUCGAUUUGCUUAGAGAGCUGCUCAAGAACAUUCAGAACUUGCUUCAUCUCCGAUUCGAGGGCAGCGAUGCGAGUUUGUUCAGCAACACGUGUUUGUUCGGUGUUAUCAGCCAUUGUUGCUCUGGAACGAGUACGGAUUGGUGAUCUUAGAUGAGCCGUGUUGUUACCUAAGGGAGAAAAGAGAUAAUGUAAGAAACGAUGACAAGAUAGGAAAAUGGCCCAUGACAAUGGUCUAAUCGCCUCAUUUUAUUUGAAAUUUGAAUAAAAUUUUCUAACUAAGAAUUGAAAUUCAAGUCCCUAACAUUGAACUAAAAAUUGAAAGCACUGAAUUGAAAUCAAGGUCUCUAAACAUUGAACCAAAACAUCUUAUUUUAUAUGCUUUUGGGAGUGGAAAUGAAUUGUAAAUCGGUUUUCCCCAUCGCAUAUAAAACAAGACGGACAACGAAACCUAAUGUCAUGGACCAACGAAAUUGCAAGUAAGUAAAUUGCAGUAGCGAGAAUUUAAACAACUUACUUUCACUGGUAAUGGAUGACAAUCACAUAGACACACGCAUGAGAUGUGAGGCUCGAUUUUUAUCUAGAUGGCUUAACAAAAUGGAGCUAAGAGGAUGAUCUGACCGUUGCAGUCUCGCAUUAACGUGUCAGGUCCUCCUAACCUCGGCUCAGUCGAAUGGAAUGCCUAAUAAUCACGCAGUCUCACGGAUAUGGACAAACACAUUCGACACAAUGAAGAACUUUCGGGGAAGAGAAUGUCAACCUCUAUAUAGCAAUCUCGCUUUAGAGGAAGUAUCAUUCUCAACACCAUCCUAAGAAUCCUAUCGCAGCAGGUUGUGUGUGCAAUAGUGUAGUGCUAAAAACAAUAAAACAUGAAUAACAGUUUAAUUGCAAACAACACUUCUAUAGUUCAACCAUUCAUCCUUAACUCCAACCUGCAAAACAAGGGUUAGCAAAAACUACUCCCCUUAUACCUUCCAUCUGCAAAAACAUUAACACUUUAUAUUAGGAGCGUACCUUGUUUCCAUGCUGCCAAAAGAAACAAGCCUAUAUCCACUAUGUGUUUUUACUCUGUUCCCCAGCAGAGUCGCCAAGCUGUCGCGACCCUCCCGAGGGUGAAUUACCUAAAGAAGGCUAAUGGAUUACUAAGUCCAAAGACUUGGCACGGACCCUCUCAAGUCCUACCAAUCGCGACUUAAUGUUAAGAAAUUAAUCUAUUCAAACAUGCAAUUAUACUCAAUUUGGAGCCGCCACUAACCAAUUAGGGCUAGUUAGAAACCCAAGUAAAGUAUGGGAGAAUAUUGUGAACCAGAGAUUCAGUAGGUCCAGGGACAUGGUUACGCUAGAUUAGUCUAACGCUCUUUCGGUACCUUUUUAUUUUAAUUUUAAAAAUAUUUUGCAGGCAAAGUUGAUUAAUUUUAAUUUAAGCUACUAACAUGCAAAUGAUGGUUAUGCGGGUGCACAAUCAAUAAAAUAACAUUCAAUAAAAAAAUGCUAAGAAAAAUGCAUGCCCUAAACAUGAUAUCUAAACGACAUGACACCUAAUUUUUAUUAUUAUGCAAUCUUAAUCUAAAUUUAAUAUGCAUGAAUUUUACUUUAAUGAUAUAUGAAAUGCGAUUUAUAUGGCAUAAUUUUAACUAUCACCAUAUGUAUGCAAUCUAAUUUAUAUAAUCCUAAAUAUGCAUAUACUACGUGAUAUGGGAUGAAUGACAUGGUAUUUCUACAUGCAUGCUCUUUUAUGAUUUUUUUUUUUUAUGAUGAUUCAUUUUUUAAUGCAUAUAUGCAACCUAUGCUAAAUAAUGAUGAUAUGAAAUGAGAUUAAUUAUGAAUUAACCUAUUAACUAACCAAGGAAAUGAUCUUUAGUUUUUUUUUUUAAUGACAUAAUGUUUUUUUAUUGAAAAGAAGAUAACUUAAUGGUGCAAUGAUCAUCUUUUAGCAUUUUCUUUUUUAUUAAAAAAAUUAAACUAUAACUCAUAUGGCAUGCAUAACAUUUUUUUUUUUUUUUGUUCCUCUUUUGUUUUACUAAAUGAAAAUUGACUUAAUCUAAAAAUGUCGAGGUGUGUUGCUUUAAUAUGAAAUGUGCAUGGACCUAAAUACCUAAGUUCAGAUAUGACAAUAUUUUACUAAUAAACAAAUCCUAAUUAAACCUAUUAUGCAAAUUAAUUAAUAUGAACCUAAUAUUUUUUGGAUUCUUUUUAUUGAAAUUCGGAAUUAGUAAAAAAAACUAAUUAGACUAACUAAAGUGAAAGAUAUUCUAUUUUAUUUUAGGAAUCAAUUUAACUUAAACUAUAUCUUAUCUUAAAAGCUAUAUAAAACAAGACAUGCCAACAUUAUUUAAAAUUAGCCCUAACAAAAAUCACCCAUCUAAAAGUAUGAUCUAAAAAUUAUAAUACUAUAAAUGCAAUUCUAAUUUACUAACCCUAAAAAUACAGUCCUAAUUUACUAAACCUAAAUGCUCUAAUGCAAUAUUUAGAUUUUUAUGUACUUUUUGAUUUUUUUUAUUUUUUUAAUCUUUCCAAACAAGUAGUUAUUUUAAAAGAAUGAAGAUAAGAAUUAAAAUAACCGAAAAAAUAAUCCGUUGUCUCACGGAUUAAAUUAACAAUUAUUUUAACUUUAUAAUGAUUUAACAAUUGAAAUGCUAUCAAAAUUCCUAAAAAAUUAAAGUAAUUAAAAAAUUGACCCGAUGUCUUACGGGUCAAAUUAAUAAUUACCAUAAUUUGGGAUAAAACACCUGCAGUUAAUGCCUACGAGAUUUAUAAAAGAAAAUCACAUCUUAAUAUUCUAAAUUGAACAUUAAUAACAAAAUAAAUAAAAUAAGAUAAAAGUUAGUGAAAAGUAAGAAUAAAAAUUAAAAAUUAAACUACCCAAGGGAAGGUGAACAGUAGGAUCGAUGGGGUGACAACGUGCGGCGAAGGAUGGCCGGUUUCGGAGCGGGCGAGAGGGACAGCCGGCAUCGGAUCUCCGGCGAGGGCUGGGCGGCGGCAGCAGCAAGGGAGGCGCGGCGUCAGUGACCGGCCAGCAGCGGCUGGGUCGUGGGUCGCUGCGGUGAUGGUGAGCAAUGACGUCGGGGCAAGCUCACGGGCAGAGGCGCAGGCGAGCUGCAAAUCGCGGGUCACGGGCUGCAGGAGCGACGGUGGCAUUGGGCAAGUGGAAUGAUGGCGUCGUGGUGGGAUCGUGGGUCGUCGGACGAGGCGGUGCUGGUGAGGUGACCGGUGCGGCUCGGUGGCUUCGCGGCUGCAGGUGGAGGGCGGAGGUGCAGGUGCGGCGGAUCUGGGCGGAGGGUCUGAGCGGAUCGGGAAGCAGCGUCGCCGGCAGAGGAGCGGCGGUCGGCGACUCGGAGGUGGCUGGUGGCCCGGGCAGAAGGCGGUGUCCGGUGCUGUUAAUCGGAAGGUGGAGGCGCCACAAUAGUCACGGUCGAGAGGAAGAAGAUGAGCAGUGUUCUGCUCUUUUCACCUUUUCCUGCUGCUGGGUCCCGCUGAUCCCCUCUCUCUCUCUCAAGUCUCCCUCACGUCACCUCCCUCUCUGCCCCCUGUACAAUUUCCCUUUUAAAAAAAAACGAAACCUCUCUUCCCUUUCCUCUCUUUUCACUUUUUCUCAUUUUCUCUUCUUUUUUUUCGAUCCAGAGAAAGCUCCUCUGAUCACUCGGUUCUGAAGCCUCGCCUUUUAUAGUGAAAGCCCUCAAAGUUGUUUUUGCAAGCAAGAUAUUCACUCAACGACUCCAACAAUAAAAAUGCUCCAAAAUCAAAUAAAAACUGAAUUUUUUUGAAUUUUAAAAUGAAGAUAUAUUUUCAAUAAAAAAUUUCCAAAACCGAAAUUUUAUUUUAUUUAUUAUUUUCUAAAAUAUUAGGUGUCAACAGACCAAAAUUUACUUCGAAAAGAAAAUAUUCAUAAGGAUCUUAUAAAUUCAUUUCUAUGUUUCUGACCAUAUACUAGACCGGCAAUAGGAAUAAGAAAUGUGCCUCAAGAAUGAUGGUUUAUUAACCGAGUAACGUACAAUUAGCAUCAUAGAUGACAAGACUUUGUUAAAAGUUGAGUAGGGGCCAAAACCCAGCAAACAAUUAGGCAACUUGGCAUGGGCGGUGAAGAAAACAGUUGGAGGAAAAGAAAGAGAAGCUGCGAUGACUCCAAUAAUUAGUGGGGAGUUCGGAUGAUGGAGAUGGAAAAGGCAUAAACCAGAGAAGGGUGAUCAGAGAGGCAAAUGGUGAAGCCACAUCGUUACACCUUCACCUUCUCUUUUUGACAAUUUCCCUUUUUUGUCCUGUGCAAUGCUCGAUCUAAAGGGACCGAUAAAUUAAGUCAGUAUAUUAAGUUGUAUGACGAAUCAUACAUUGCCUUUUAUACAAUAUGGUCAUAUUUGACAUUCAAAUAACACUCUAUUUGGUCAUUCAGAAAAUCAAUAUAGUAAAUCAUUUUUUCCGCUGAGUCAAUUCUUUUUGUCGGUGUUUUAAACCUGAGUAUUCAGUACUGGACUAGCAGAGGAUGGGCCUUCGUGGAUGUCAAUUACGGUGGAAGCACUGGUUUGUCUCUAAAUAAGAACUCUUUACGCUUCAUAUCUUUUUGUCGAUUUCUGCGAAACCUGUUUUCCAGCUUGGGAUGGUGAUGAAGCACCAUUAUUAUCUCAACAGCCGUAUGCAUUAUUCUCGCCAAUUCCUCAUGGAGUUUUAUUGGCGUAAAUGGCUGCAAACAUUGCUAGCUUUGGCCCAUCAUUUGAUUGAUCUUCUUCAUUGCUACUGAAAAAUGGUACAAAAAUUUUUGUUCAAGGUUAUGGCAGAGAAUUCAGAGAACGGCUAUUGGGUUGCUGGGGUAUAGUUGAUGUUGAUGACUGUUGUAGUUGCGCUAAAUUUUUGGUAGGUGACUUUCAACUUGGUAGUUCUGUUAGUGCUCCUUGGGUAAUAGCGUGCUGGAACUAUUUCAGUAUGGUGAAGUUGCUUUAUCAUCGAGGUGGAAAGCGGAAAGGCGGAUGGCAAUCGCCUAUGCAUCACUGGAGGCUCUGCUGGUGGGUAUACAACCUUAGCUGCUCUAGCAUUUAGAGAAACUUUCAAAGCUAGGGCCUCCCCUUUAUGGUGUGAGUUCAUUUACUUUGUAUUCAGUUUCAGAAUAGUUGAAUUUACCAUUUUGCACCAAUAUCAAGAAACUGGCUUCUUUCUGUUGGAGAAAACUUCCUUAUCUAUUUUGAAGUUGACAAAAUAUUUUAUUUAGUCUAAUCUGAAGACUUCCAGACUCUAUCAUCAAAGUCUAAAGACCACCAGACACAAGACUUAAAGUCUGCCCUCAUUGACAGUUUCUAGACCGACGAAGAAGACUUAUCCAGAUGCGAGUAUGUCUUUAAGGAUUUGAUUUGUGCAUCUAAAGAAUCUCUCACGGCUAGGAUGGCAUCUCAAGAUCUAUUAUUCGUAUUGAAAUUGAUUUGAGUAACUAAGAUCUGUUGAUUGGUGAAGUAUACUUUGAAGGUUCUACAUAUGGAAACCUAGAUCUUGAUUGUAUAGGCGAGCAAGAUUGGUAGGUUAUCUUCAUAUUCCUUAAAUAACUCGAGAUAUCCCUAAUUGAUUCUGUCCAACGGGUAGAUUGAAAAAACUCCUUUGGAAGAUACCAACGGUUAUGAAAGCAUGGAGGAGUUUAUAAAAGAAGACGCUCUAGUUAUUCGAAGGUGUGCAAGAUAGAUAAAUUUCAAAGUCUGAAGCUCCUUGUACUUUGCUUAUUCAAUUGUUGAGCUUAUAUUCGUACUCAAAAGAGAGAUUAGAUACUGGUGAGACCUUGAGGAAGUGGAAUAGAAAUUCUACACUGUGGAAUCAAAGACGUGAGAUUGUAACACCUCUUUUGAUUCAUAGUGAAAUCUAACCAGUGGGCUAUCAGUGCAGGAGAGUUGACGUAGACUUAGUCUAAGCCGAACCACUAUAAACCUUGUGUUCUUAUUAUCUUCCCUAAACUCCUUUAUUUUGUUCGUAACUUUAUUUAAUUGCUAGAGUCUGAUUUCCUCUGCAAAGUCUUUUGUCAACUAGACUUAGGUUAAAUGUAAAUUUUUACACUAUAUUUUGCAAAAUUUAUUUUCACACCUAUUCACCCCCUCUCUAGGUGUUCGUACUAGCACUUUCAAUUGAUAUCAGAGCUUGUGUACUCAUUUAAUUGAAGUGUUUUUACUUAUGAGUUAAAGAUCCAUGGCUAGUAUGUUGGCUCUAGGUUUUGUUGAAUGACAAAGCAACACCAAACCGCUUUAUUUUGAUGGAAAAGAAUACAGUAUAUGGAAAAACAAAAUGAAAGCAUUUCUAAGGUCGAAAGAUCCUCUGGAAUGGGAUUUGGUUGAUAAAGGAAUCAUUCCUAAAGCUACAACAAUCUCAGAAAAGGAGAAAAGAAGUUGUAGAGGCUAGCGAGAUGACUCAAGAGGAGAUAACCAAGAGACAAGCUCUUGAUGUAAAAGCAAUUUACUCCUUCUAUUGUGCAUUAUCUCAUACUGAAUAUAACAUAAUAUCUUCUUGCGAAACAGCUAAAGAAGUCUAGGAUAGAUUGCAUAUUACCUAUGGAGGAACUGAUCGAGUGAAAGAAACCAAGAUCAAUAUGAAGUCUUCAAGAUGAAACUAGGAGAAUCUAUCACUGACAUGUUUAGUCGUUUUACAGAAAUCGUGAACGGUCUUGAGUAUCAAGGUCAACCAAUUUCAGAACCCAUGAAGCAAACUGCUGCGUGGACUUUCCAAAGAUUGGAAUCACGUAAAGAUCUCAAUAAGAGAAACACAAAGGAUCAUGCCACCCUUCGUUGAUGAAUUGGUCAGCACACUUCAGUCCUAUGAAGUGGAGCAAAUCAAUGAAGAAGAAGAUCCCAAAGGUAAAAAGUCUAUUGCCAUAAAAUCUAAUGAUGAUUCUAAUGUUAUAGAUUCUGAAGACGAUAUAAAUGAUGAAAAGCUUGCUCUCAUAAUAAGAAUAUUUAAAAAACUGAACAAAAAUUGAAGAAGAUUCAACUGGAAGAAACAAACCUCUCAAAAGUUUCAAAAUAAAUCAACUAAGGACGAUGAAUUCAAUAAAGAUGGGAUUUGUUUUGAAUGCAAGAAAAAUGGACACAUUAGACCUAACUGUCCCUUAUUGAAGAAAAAGAAAGGAAAAUCUGAGAAAUACAGAAAGACACUCAAAGCAAAAACUUGGAGUUAAACCAAAUGCGAAGAGAGUGAUGAUGAUUAUGCUAAUAUUUAUUUAAUGGCAAAAUCAGACUCAAACUCUAAGACGAAUACAAACUCAAACUCAGAUGGUGAAAUCAAGGUAAGUAAUUUAAAAAUUCCUACUAAAGUCUCAAAAUAUAUUAAUGAACUAUGUCUUAGUCUCAAAACCUCUCUCAGGAGGAUUUCCGAGCUAAAAAUGGAAAAUUCUACACUGAAGCAACAGGAAAUUGGUUGGAAAGGAAAGUUCGAAAAUUUAGAUAAAAGUUUUGUUACUUUAAAAGAAAAUACAAACUCUUUUUCAAAAGAAAAUACACUUUUGAAAAAUGAUAUUUCAAGUAUCUCAAAAAGGUUUUCUAUAGAAUAUGAGAAAUUGUAAAAGAUUCUUUCAGUGCAAAGACCUUACUUUAACAAAUCAAGCUUGGGAAUGACUUCUGAAACCAUUCAUUUAAUUGAUUUUCCAAAAGUAAAGGAAAGAAUCAAACAAAUACCUACAAAAGCCUUUUAUAGAAAUCAUUUUCAAAAAGUCUUUGUAAAACCUGUUGGCCGAAAUGCUCUUAAAUGUUCUAAAUGCAACAGCUCAGAACAUUUUGAGAAAGAAUGUCAUACGGUUUGGAGACCUGUUGUCGCAACCAAAUUUUCGAGUGAAACCACCUAAGGUUUGGCUAAUAGAUUGUUAAGCCUAAACUUAACUCAGGCUCUCCCAAGCCCAUACUAAUUCGCAACUUAGGUUCAAAUUCUUAACAUGCAAUUAAUUUUUAAUUAGGAGUCGUCACUAAUCUAUUUUUGGUGGGUCGAUUAGAAACCCAAGUAAAGUAACGGGAGAUUUACUUUACUCCUACGAACCAGAUAUUUGGGUACGAAGACUUGAUUACGCUAGAUUUCUCUAACACCCUUUCGGUACCAUUUCUUUUAUUUUGAAAAAAGGGUUUUGCAGGCAGCUUGAAUUGAUUUUAAAUCUAUUUCCCUAACAUGUGAGGCGAUCAUGCGGGUGCGCAAACCACCAAUUUAACACCCAAUAAAGCAAUUAAAUAAUGUAGAACUUACCUCAAAGCAACGAAAUUUCCCUAACAUGUGAGGCGAUCAUGCGGGUGCGCAAACCACCAAUUUAACACCCAAUAAAGCAAUUAAAUAAUGUAGAACUUACCUCAAAGCAACGAAAGCAUCUGCGUUGUUAAAUUAAAAUCCACAUCAACAACCCUAGAUAUGGUUUAUAAUUAACAAGCAAUCACUCAAUUUUCACUUUCACUUUUUAACGAGACUAUAAUCCAUAUGCAAUGCAAUGCUUUUAAUCUAAUAUGAAAUGAUAUGGCAUGGCAACAUGUUCUAAACUAUAUGAAUGGAUAAAUUUUUUUGUGAUUUCUUAACAAACAUGCAAUUAUUAAAUAUGCAAUCUAAAUUAACCAAAAUGACUUAAUUCUAAUGACAUGUGAUGUGAUGCAAUGCGAUGACGUACAAAAUUAUUUUAACUAAAAUGACAUGCAACAUACAAUUUAAUAUGCGAGCUAUAUGUCAUGCGACAUUUAUUAAAUGACCUAAUGUAAUUACGGGCAAUUUCCAAUUAAAUGAACCUAACAACAGUCAAUAAAUGACGUGCAUUUCAUGAACCUAAUUCUAUAUGACAUGGGCAUUUUUAUUUUCCUAACAAAAACGUGCAAUUUAUCUAGGAGAGAUUAUCUACCUAAUUGAUAAACAUGCAACCCUAACAUGCAAUGACAUGCAAAGAAUGCCCUAAUUCAACAUGAUAUAUGCAUGAUGAUUUUUUUUUUGUUUCUUUUUAUAAAAUUCGAAAUUUAAAAUUGCCAAAUAAUUAAACGUGCCAUUUAAAUUUAAAAAAAAAACUAACCUCCUAAAUGAACACAUUUUUUGGAUUUUUUUUAUUUAAAAAUUCAAAAUAAGAUUGCAAUUCUAAACAUGCAAGAUAACCCUAAGACUAAGAACAUUCUAAAACAAACUUAACCCUAAUUCCAAUUUUUCUUUCCUUUUAUGAAAAUAAAAUUGAUCCAAACACCACGACAUCAAAUCAAGCAAGACAAUGUUGAUAUCCAAAAAUUGGCAAACCAUAUCUCGCGCAUGAGAUCGGGUUGACCAAUUUUAAAAUUAAAUCGCGAAUCGAAUCUCGGGCUUGAGAUUGGAUUGUCGAUUUUUGCAAGGGAUUGCGAGUUGGAUUUCGGACACGAAAAUCAAACUGACAACCCCUAAUUUGAGGGGAACUUUCACGUUGGAAUAUCAAUCAUAUAUUUAGGAACAACUUCACUAAAAAAAACAAGCUAUAGAAGAAAAUAAAAACAAACAAACAAUAAAUAAAUAAAUAAAUAAGACUACCUAAUCCUCUUUUUCUCUUUUUUUUUUUUUUUUGCUUUUUCUUUUUCCCAAAAGUGGGCUUGCUCGUGCGGCGAGUCACCGGCUCCGAUGAAAGGUGGCGGAUCGGAGGUUUGGUAGGGGGAAACUCCGGCGAGGGUGGCAAUGGGCAGAGGCAGGUCCCAGGGCUUCGGCUCUGAGCAACAGGGCGUCGAGAUCAAGGCCAUUGGUCGCUGGUCCUCAGGGCAAUCAGGCUCGAACAGAGCAGCGUUGAGUCGGAAGGCUCAAGCAGCAGGGCGGUAGCGGUGUGCGGUAAAGCGGAGCAGCGAGCUCGCGAGUACCGAGGCGCGGCGGCGUCGAAUGAUGCAGAAGGUGCGGAUCGGGUGGCACUCCGAUGCGAUGGCGAGCGAGCAGGAGGUCGCGGGUCACAGUGGGCUGCAACAAAGGGCAAAUCGGCUCGGCGGUACGGCUGCUUUAGGGCUCUGGUGGCGUCGGGUCGCGAUUGGGGGCAGAGACACGGCAAGGUCGGCGCGAGGUUAACCGAAGUGCGAGACUGGGGACUCGCAGGUUACUAGUGUCUCGACGGUGUUGGUGCGACAUGGAGCUUCACGGGCGUCGGGGACGACGACCAGCAGGGCGUGAACAGCAGCGGCGAAGACUCGUCGAGGGAGGGGCAUAGCAGAGUGGCGGCGGUGUGGGCGCCGGAGUGGCUAGGUCGCAAGCGGAAAGGCAGGCGGAGUGGCUGCACGAAGAAGACAAUGAACAGUCCUCUCCUUUUAUUUCUCUCUCUCUCUCUCUCUCUCUCUCACCUGUCGCACGUCCUCUCACUAGUCUGCUCUUUCCCUCACUGCAAACCGGUUACUUUUCCUUUCUCUCUCCCUUUUCUCUCUUUCUUUUUCCUUUGACUUUCCUUCUUCCUUUUUCGAAAACCGAGAGAACCCCCUUUUCCGAAGCCUUGCACUCUCUAUUUAUAGAGAAAAAAAUCAGUUUGUUCUGCCCAUCGAGAUUUGCAUAUAUUGACCCAAUCGCUAAAGAUCAUCCUUCGAAAAGGGGAGAUGUGCUCAACAAGAAAAUAGCCUCAAAUUCUUUGUGAAGAUUUUUUAAGAUAAUUCACUCAACUUUUGAUAAGGCUCCAUCAUCCAAAAUCUUUCAACAUCUCCUUCCUCAACAAAAUAUUUUUUAACAACUUUUAAAAAAUAAGAUAAAUAUUAUUGUUACCCUAAUGUAAAUGAACAAAUAAAAAUAGUUAAAAUUUAUGUGUCAACACAUGUUAAGAAGGAUUGGACAAAGACCGUUUAUUGCACUAACUCUAUUGGACUCAAGAAAGUGUGGGUACCAAAGAAAGCUUGAGUUUCUUUUUUAAUUGCAGGUCACUAUCAAGAAAAAUGUCAAAUGGUACUUGGAUAGUGGAUGCUCAAAACAUAUGACAGGAGAUUCAACUUGUUUUAUAAAGCUCAUCCAAACGAAUGGAGGAAAAGUUUCUUUUGGUGGAAAUAGCAAAAUAAUAAUUGUCGGAUGCGGAACAGUAAAGAUUGGAAACUUUACGAUCAAUAAUGUCUCCUUGGUAGAAUGACUAAAUUACAAUCUACUCAGCAUAAGCCAACUGUGCUACAUAGGUUUCAAAAUCAAUUUUCAAGAAGGAAUAUGUUCGGGAACCAGUAAAGACUUCUCUCAGACUUUCACGGGGUGAAGACAUGGGAACAUCUAUUUUUUGGAUAUCAAACUAGAAAAAUCUCAAUGUCUAAUUUCAAUUCAAGAUAGGGGUGAUCGGUUCCCGAUUCGGUCCGGUUCCCGGUUCCACCUUGGAACCGGACCGAGAGAAUCGGUUCCCAAAAUUGGGAACCGUGGACCAAACCGUUUGGUCCUAAGAUCGAGAACCAGACCGAACCAUCAGUUCCGGUCCAACAGAAUAGGUGUUGGAGAAAUCUUCUUGAAGUGUUUUGAAGUUGACAAAACGUUUCCAUCAGUCUAAUCUGAAGGCUUGCAGACUCUGCUAUUUAAAGUCUGAAAACCUCUAGACAGCUAGACUCAAGACUCAAAGUCUAUCCUCAUUGACAAUUUCUAAUCUGUUGAAGAGAGGCUAUCCAGAACUGGAUGUUUCAUUAAGGAUGUGGUCUUAUCGACUGGAGAAGAUCUCUUGGCUGGAUAUGACAUAACGGAAUCCUUUGUUUGAUCAUAAUUGAUUCAAAGAUUAAGGAUCCGAUGAUUGGCAAAGUAUACUUGGAAGGUUCUACUUAUGGAAACCUAGAUCCUGAUUAUAUGGGCGAACAGGAUUGAUGGGCUAUCGACAUGUUCCUUUAAUAGCUCGAAUGAUCUUCUUAAUUGAUUCCGUCCAACGGGUAGAUUGGAGGAAUUCCUUUAGUAAGUGCCAACGGGUAUGAUGGCAUGAAGGAGUAUAUAAGGAAGACGUUCCAGUUGUUCGAGUGUGUGCACGAUAGAAGAAUUCCAAAGUCUGAAGCUCUUUGUUCUUAGUCAAUUCAUUUAUUGAGCAAAAUCGUGUAAACAAAAGAGAGUCUAUAUUCGUGAAAAACCUUGAGGAAGUGUGGUAGAUUAUCUACACUGUGGAAUCAAGGAAAAGCUGUGCUGUAACUUCUCUUUUGUUCAUAGUGAAAUCCAGCCGGUGGGCUGUCAGUGCGGAAGAGUGGACGUAGGCUUGGAAUAAGCCGAACCACUAUAAAUCUUGUGUUCAAUUCUCUCUUCCCUAACCUUUACUUUACUUUGAUCGUAUUUUCCUUUCUAUCGAUUGCCUAGAAUCGCUUCCGUAUCUCGAGAAAUUGUUUGUGCACCUAUUCACCCCCCUCUAGGUGCUUAUACUAGCUAUCUCAAUUGGUAUCAGAGCAUGUGUACUCACUUUGUUUGAAGUGUUUUACUUCAGAGUUAAAGAUCCAUGGCUAGUAUGUUGGCUCCAGGGCUGGUAGAAGGGCAAAGCAAUACCAGACAUCCUUACUUUGAUGGAAAGGAUUACAACAUAUGGAAAAACAAGAUGAAGGCGUUCCUAAGAUCAAAGGAUCCUCUGGAAUGGGACAUUGUAGAAAAAUGAAUCAUUCCUAAAGCUGCAUUUGUCUCAGAAAGAGGAAAAGAUGCUGUUGAAUCUAGCGAAAUGACUCAGGAAGAGAUAAUCAAGAGACAAGCUCUUGAUGCAAAAGCAAUUUAUUCCUUAUAUUGUGCUUUAUCUUCUACUGAAUAUAACAGAAUAUCUUCUUGUGUUACAGCUAAAGAAGUCUGGGAUAGAUUACAUAUUACCUAUGAAGGAACCGAUCGAGUGAAAGAGACUAGAAUCAACAUUCUCCUCGGUCAAUAUGAAGCCUUCAAAAUGAAAUCAGGAGAAUCUAUAACUGAUAUGUUUAGUCGUUUUACAGAAAUCGUGAAUGGUCUUGAAAAUCAAGGUCAACCAAUUUCUGAUCCCAUGAAGGUAAACAAGCUACUGCGUGGACUCUCCAAGGAUUGGAAUCACAUAAAUACCUCAAUCAGAGAGACCCAAACAAUCAUGCCACUAUUUGUUGAUGAGUUGGUUGGGACUCUUCAGUCUUAUGAAGUGGAACGAAUCAAUGAAGACGAAGACCCUAAAGGUAAGAAAUCCAUUGCAUUAAAAUCUAAUGAUGAUUCUGAUGUUACAAAUUCUGAAGACGAUAUGGAUGAUGAGGAACUUGCUCUCAUGAUAAAAAGAUUCAGAAAGCUGAACAGAAAAUGAAGAAGAUUCAAUCCAAAGAAACAAAGUUUUCAAAAGCAACAGACUAAGUCUGUUGAGGAUGAUGAAUCAAACAAAGAUGUAGUCUGCUUUGAAUGUAAGAAAAAAGGACACAUCAGAUCCAACUGUCCUCUUCUGAGGAAGAAGAAAGGAAAAACUGAAAAGUAUCGAAAGGCUCUUAAAGUUGAAACCUGGAGUGAUACAGAGUGUGAAGAAAGUGAUAAUGAUUAUGCUAAUAUAUGUCUGAUGGCACAAUCGGAUUCAGAUUCAAACUUCGAGACAGAUUCAGAUUCAAAAAGCGAAAUUGAGGUAAGUAACUUCAAAAUCCCUAUUAAAGUUUCAAAAUACAUUGAUGAAUUGUGUUUUAGUCUUAAGACCUCUCUUAAAAGAAUUUCCGAACUCAAGAAGGAAAAUUCUGCUCUAAAACAACAGGAAAAUAUUUUGAAAGAAAAAGUGAAAUGUUUAGACAAGAAUGUUUCUUCUCUUAAAGAAAGUGAAGAUAAUCUUUUAAAAGAAAAUGCAUUCUUGAAAAAUGAUAUCUCAAAUAUUUCCAAAAGAUUUUCUAUAGGAUAUGAGAAACUGGAAAAAAUUAUCUCUGUUCAAAGACCUUAUUUCAAUAAAUCUGGUUUGGGAAUGACUGCUGAAACCAUUCCUUUAAUUGAUUUUCCUAAAGUGAAGGAAAGAAUCAAACAAAGACCCACAAGAGAUGCUUACAAAAAUCAUUUUAAAAGGAUCUUUGUAAAACCAGUAGGUCGCAAUGCUCUCAGAUGCUCAAAGUGCAAUAGUACAGAUCAUUUUGAAAAAGAAUGUCCUAUGAUUUGGAAACAUGUUAAAAAGGUAUGGGCAAAAACCGCAUAUCAUACUUUCAAGAGGGAAAAAUCGUGGGAUUUGGAACUGUAAAGAUUGGAAAUCUCACAAUCAGCAAUGUUUCCUUAGUGGAAGGGCUUAAUUACAAUUUGCUCAGUAUUAGUCAGCUAUGUGAUACUGAUUUCAAAAUCAACUUUCAAGAGGGAAUAUGUUCAGGAAUUAGUAAAGAUUCUACUCAGUCAUUCAUGGGUCGAAGACAUGGAAAUAUCUACCUCUUGGAUGUGAAACCAGAUGAAUCACAAUGUCUAAUCUCAAUCCAAGACGAAGCAAACUUAUGGCACAGAAAGCUUGGGCACGUCAAUAUGAAGCAAAUAGCCAAAAUCUCAGCGAAGAAGCUUGUUCGUGGUCUACCCAAUUUAUCAUACCAAAAGUCUAAUCUAUGUACACCAUGUAUAUUGGGAAAAUAGGUAAGAAAUUCCUUUAAACCAAUAAAUCAAGUUUCCACUAACCGUGUACUGCAGCUUCUGCAUAUGGAUCUUUUUGGACCAACCAGAACACAAAGCAUUGGAGGUAAGAAAUACUGCUUAGUAAUUGUGGAUGAUUACUCACAAUUCACUUGGGUAUAUUUCUUGGUAUAUUUCUUGGCAAGUAAGUCUGAAACCUUCUCUUACUUUGAAAAGUUUGCUAAAAAGGUUCAAAAUGAAAAAUGGUAUGUUAUCUCGAGUAUAAAACAGAUCAUGAAGGUGAGUUUGAAAAUCAUGAUUUUACAAAAUUCUGUGAUGAAUCUGGUUUUCAGCAUGAAUUCUCCUCUCCAUAUACUCCAGAGCAAAAUGGAGUUGUGGAAAGAAAGAAUAGAUCACUUCAAGAAAUGGCUAAAACUAUUUUAAUUGAAAGUAACAUCUCUUCACGUUUUUGGGCUGAAGCAGUUUCUACAGCAUGUUACAUCAUAAAUAGAGUUUUUCUAAGGCCUAUUCUGGAAAAAACCCCCUAUGAACUAUUCAAAGAAAAGAAGCCUAUUGUUUCAUAUUUUCAUGUAUUUGGAUGCAAAUGUUUUAUACUGAAAAAUGCAAAUGAUCGAGUUGGUAAGUUUGAAGAAAAGUCAAAUGAAGGCAUCUUCCUUGGAUAUUCAACCACAAGCAAAGCGUACAGAAUCUACAACAAGAAGACUCAAACAGUGGAAGAAUCAAUGAAUGUUAAAUUCCAAGAUUCUAUGCAAAAUGAAUCCAUUCAAACUCAUCUUGAAGAAUCUGAACCUGCUCCAGACUCUACAAAGUCUAAAUCUCAGGAAAUAGCUCAGACUUUGAAGGACCAGCAACAAGUGACUAUUGAAGAUUCAAGUGAAGGAAGUGACCAUCAAUCUGACAAAUUAACCAGCAACUGGAAACAUAAGUCCAGUCAUCCAAAAGAUCUUAUUAUUGGCGACAUCAAUGAAGGAAUUCACACAAGAUCCAAAAGGCGCGAAGAGUCUAGUGCUGUGGCUCUUAUUUCUGAAAUAGAACCCAAAAGCAUAGAAGAAGCUUUAUCUGAUGAAAGCUGGAUUGAAGCUAUACAAGAAGAGCUCAGGCAAUUCAGUAUUAAUGAUGUCUGAGAAUUGACUCCUAAACCAAAAGGUAAAUCUAUUAUUGGAGCUAAAUGGGUUUUCAGGAACAAGAUGAACGAGAAAGGAAAAGUCAUAAGAAACAAGGCAAGACUCGUGGCCAAGGGAUACACACAAGAAGAAGGGAUAGACUAUGAUGAGACUUACGCACGAGUAGCAAGGUUAGAAGCAAUUCGAUUAUUACUUGCUUUUGCUUGUUAUAAGAAUUUCAGGUUAUUCCAAAUAGAUGUCAAAAGUGCCUUCCUAAAUGGAUUCAUCCAAGAGGAAGUCUAUGUGGAACAACCUCCUGGGUUUGAAGACCCAAGGAAACCUGACUCAGUAUUCAGACUCAAAAAGGCUUUAUAUGGCUUAAAACAAACACCUCGAGCUUGGUACGACAGACUGAGUAAGUUUUUAAUUGAAAAUGGAUUUGUUAAAGGUAAAGUAGACAAUACUCUUUUCAUUAAAAGAGAAAGCAAGAGUUUUCUACUUGUUCAAAUAUAUGUCGAUGAUAUUAUUUUUGGAUCCUCUAAUGAAAGUCUGUGCAAGAAAUUCUCUAAGACUAUGCAGGAUGAAUUUGAAAUGAGCAUGAUGGGUGAGUUAACCUUCUUUCUUGGACUUCAAGUGAAACAACUGAAGGAAGGAACUUUUAUUCAUCAAGAAAAAUAUGCUAAUGAUAUUGUGAAGAAGUUUGGACUGGACAAUUGCAAAAAGUCCGAUAUACCAAUGUCAAGUUCCUUGAAGAUAGAUAAAGAUGAAGGAGGAAAGAAAGUCGACCAAAAGUUAUACAGGAGUAUCAUCGAUUCACUUCUUUAUCUUACUGCUUCUAGACCUGACAUUUUGUUUAGUGUUUGCAUUUGUGCCAGAUUUCAAGCAGACCCUAAAGAAUCACAUUUAAAUGCUGCAAAGCGUAUUAUCAAAUAUAUUGCAUCAACUUCAAGCUUCGGUCUUUGGUAUCCUAAAAGGGGAGACUUUACUCUUCUCGGGUACUCAGACGCAAACUUAGCCGGAUGCAGAGUUGAUAGAAAGAGCACCUCAGGUACCUAUCAACUACUUGGAGGCAGGACAAUGUCUUGGUUUUCAAGGAAGCAAAGUACAGUAGCUCUCUCUACAGCAGAAGCAGAAUAUGUAGCUCUUGGAAGUUGUUGUUCAUAAAAUUCUGUGGAUAAAACAACAACUAAGAGACUUUGGAAUUGAAGAUUCAUGCACAGAGAUUAAAUGUGACAACACCAGCGCAAUCAAUCUCACCAAAAAUCCAAUUCUUCACUCAAGAGCAAAGCAUAUAGAGAUUCGACAUCACUUCAUUAGAGAUCAUGUUCAAAAUAGAGAAAUUACGAUCCAGUUUGUUGACUCAACGAACCAACUGGCGGAUAUAUUUACAAAGCCUUUGGAGAAAAAUCAAUUUGAAAUUAUCCGUUCCAGACUCAACAUUUUGAGGUUUGAAGAAGUUAAAGUCUAGAGACUCUCAGACUCAGACAAAUAAGACUUUGACUGCAAGACUUUGACUGUAAGUUAUUCUCUCUCUAAUCUCAUCUUGAAAAGGUACGUUCAUCAAUCGUGUUUGAUUAUUGUUAUCUCAACCGUUAUCUUUAAUUGACGAGAUUAUCGCAACGUUUCCUUUAGAAAAAAGAGUUAUUUUGAAAUGACCAUUUUUCGAAAAAGGCAGUUAUUUUUUUAAGGCAUCUUUUCACUUACCAUUACGACGAUUGGUAUCCCCUCCUUUCGACUGUCUUAUAUAUAGUCAGUUUCUCUUCGCUUAACUCCAAAACCCUAAAAAGCACCAAUCUUCCAUUCCUAUUUUCUUCUCUUGUUUAAUCUUCGAAAAAGUUGUCAUCUUUCUUGGGAAAGUCAAGCAAGGAAUCUUUCAAAGACUAAGAAAGAUGUCGUCUUCAAGAAAGUCUUCAAGGAUCGCAAGCAGGGGACCACGGCGAAUGAGUGAGGGGCCUACGCACUUCGAUCUCACUGAAGAAGAAGUGUCUCCAAAUCAGCAACAGAGCCCACAACAUUCUCGGCAGCGUCAUUCUCCUCCAUCUAGUCCUCAAGAUGUUGAUCAUCAUCAAAAUGAAGAAAUCAUUGAAGAUGCAGAUCCUGUAAGAGUUCAAAGGCCCUCCUUUAUUUAUAAGCUGUAUCGUGCUUUAAAAGGGACUGGUACUCCAUUGAACUAUGUCGAUGAUUUUCUUAAGGACAAAGGAUAUGGAAAUGAAUAUAUCUUUUUGCGAAAAAUGGAAAGUUUGGGAAUUGCUCGUAAAGGGGUGGCAGAAGAAACCCUUGCGAAUAUCCCAAGUGAUCCUCGUGAUUGGGGAUUUAAUCCAGUAGAUGGAAAUGAUGAUGACAAAUUAUACAGCCAAUUUCAAUCAAGAAUGGGAGUUGCGGCAAAAAUUCGAGGAAAAAUGGGAGAGUUGUUUAGAUCGAAGGAACAAAAGAAUCUAUACUCAAAAUUGCUGAAGCGUGGGGUGAUAAACCCUAGGAGUGUGGAUUUUGAUUUUCUGGAUGCUGUGAAUGUGAACUUGAGGGAAAAGUUCGGUCAUCUUCAACUUGAAAAAUUAUGCUCUGACACCACAGAAGCCUAUCCUCAACUAACUGUUUAUUUCUAUUCAAAUCUCAGUUUCUUGGAUGCGAAUAGAUUCUCUUUCAGUGUCCAAGAUCAAGACUUUGUAGUGGAUAUGGAUAUGCUAGCAGAUGUGUUAGAAGUUGAGAGAGGAAGAUAUCAAUGGAUCAAAGUUUCUAUUGCUCGUGCUACAUUGGAACUUGUUAAGAAUAGGAGAACAGAGGAAAAGAUUUCCUACUCAAGGAUGAGUGCAUUCAACAUUUUGCUGCACAAAAUUGUAAUCAAUUGCCUCAGACCGAAAUCAACUUCCAAGACUGAUGUUUCAAGUUCAGAGGCAAAGCUGAUGUAUGCCAUCAUCUCUGGGAAAAGGUUUUCACUUCCUCACACUAUUAUGUUCCACAUGUAUAGAGCUAUGAUGAAGGACAGAGGUCAACUUCCUUAUCCAGGUCUUGUGACGAAGUUAUUCAAACAUCUGAACAUUCAACCUCCGCAAAUUCUUUGUGCUCGAUCGUGCGAUCAUAUGGUGGUAGGACUGAAAAUGGUGACCAAGAUGCGUCUGAAGGAACUAAGCAAGGCAUUGGAGAAAUUUAAGGAGAAGACUCCAGUCAAAACUCAUCAAUUCUCUUCUGCAGGAAAAAGAAAAGGGAAGGAGCCCAUGGAUGCUCCAUCUAAGAGAAGAAGAGCUUUCCUCGUUGAGGAUGAAGAUGAUGAGGAAAACAUCACUAUUUCUGCUUUGAAAAAUCUCAGUCGAUCUGUUCCAGAGAAAGAGUCAGAACAGCAGACAGAAGAAAGAACAGAGAAAGAAGCAGAGGAAAAAGAAACUGAGGAAAGAGAAGAAGAAGAAAGAGAUGCUGAGAAAGAGAGAGUUGAAAAAGAAGAAGAAGAGAAAAGAGAUCAAGCGGAAGGAGAACAUGAGGAGCACUCUCUACCUGAAGGCAUGAACACAGGGGGAGACCAAGAGAAAAGAGGAAUGUCCUCAAAUCCUGCAACCAGUGAGGGAGUCAGUCGAUCCCCAGCAGAUCCAGAGGAUAUUUAUGCCUCUCGGUUUCCUGAGGAAGGUCAUGAUGUUUCUUCGCCAAAUCUGCGUGAUUAUGCUGAUCUACCAUCGUCUGCAUUUACUCCAUUAGAUCGUGCUAACGCCAGUACGCAGACCGACAAUUCAGCAGACUUUUGCAGAGUUAUGGAUAUUCUCUUGGAGAUGCAAGGUCAGAUAUAUGCAUUGGGAUGUGAAGUUCAGAACUUGCAGAAUGCAGGACAAGUUUCUUCGGGUUCAUUGAAUGAUCAACUCCAAGCCCUUUCUCUUCAGAUUCAGGCUAAUGCUAAGGGUGAGGAUGUUGCACAACUGAAGGAAGACUUGAAAAGGCCGAAAGGCAUCGUUCAGUCGAUGGGAGAUUUCCAGCUUGUUCGUGUUCCCAAGCAUUUUUGACUCCAUUUUCAUCUCAAAUUUUUUUAUGCUGACAAAAAGGGGGAGAAUUGCGAGACUUGAAAAACUUUAAACUUAAAAAAAACUUUGAACUUAAAUUUGUCGAACUUUUGGCUUGUUGGUUUGUGGUUUUUUUUUACUUGACUUGUGUGUCUGGAUGUGGACUAAAUUUGGGAUUUGGAUUUGACUGCUUAUUAUUAACUACUAUUGAUAUCUUAUGGAUGGCUUUAAAAGCAUAUUAGACUAACCUAUUUUCUGUGGUUGCAGAUUCUAGUGUUAUUCAAUUAGCCAUUUAUCUCUAUAAGAUAUGCAUAUGUGUUUGAGAAAUGUUUUGUAGGUCAAAGUUUUCCAAAUCUGCAAGAAAGUUUUGUCACCAUCAAAAAGGGGGAGAUUGUUGGAGAAAUCUUCUUAAAGUGUUUUGAAGUUGACAAAACGUUUCCAUCAGUCUAGUCUGAAGGCUUGCAGACUCUGCUAUUUAAAGUCUGAAGACCUCCGGAUAGUCAGACUCAACACUCAAAGUCUAUCCUCAUUGACAGUUUCUAAUCCGUUGAAGAAAGGCUAUCCAAAACUGGAUGUUUCAUUAAGGAUGUGGCCUUAUCGACUAGAGAAGAUCUCUUGGCUGGAUAUGACAUAACGGAAUCCUUUGUUUGAUCAUAAUUGAUUCAAAGAUUAAGGAUCCGAUGAUUGGCAAAGUAUACUUGGAAGGUUCUACUUAUGGAAACCGAGAUCCUGAUUGUAUGGGCGAACAGGAUUGAUGGGCUAUCGACAUGUUCCUUUAAUAGCUCGAAUGAUCUUCCUAAUUGAUUCCGUCCAACGGGUAGAUUGGAGGAAUUCCUUUGGUAAGUGCUAACAGGUAUGAUGGCAUGAAGGAGUAUAUAAGGAAGACGUUCCAGUUGUUCGAGUGUGUGCACGAUAGAAGAAUUCCAAAGUCUGAAGCUCUUUGUUCUUAGUCAAUUCAUUUGUUGAGCAAAAUCGUGUAAACAAAAGAGAGUCUAUAUUCGUGAGAAACCUUGAGGAAGUGUGGUAGAUCAUCUACACUGUGGAAUCAAGGAAAAGCUGUGCUGUAACUUCUCUUUUGUUUAUAGUGAAAUCCAGCCGGUGGGCUGUCAGUGCAUAAAAGUGGACGUAGGCUUGGAAUAAGCCGAACCACUAUAAAUCUUAUGUUCAAUUCUCUCUUCCCUAACCUUUACUUUACUUUGAUCGUAUUUUCCUUUCUAUCGAUUGCCUAGAAUCGCUUCCGUAUCUCGACAAAUUGUUUGUGCACCUAUUCUCCCCCCUCUAGGUGCUUAUACUAGCUAUCUCAAUAGGCACUUUCUUUUUUCACUAAAAAACGACCAUUCACUAAAAAACGAUCAUGCUCCGAACCGAUCAAUCCAAUUCAAUUCCCGAGCAAUCUAAUAAAACUACUCACACAUGUUCCCACAUGCAAAAUAUUCAAACUUCACUUGCGUGAAUAUCAAUCAUAGUUUAUGUGUUUCACGCUUAAUUUUAAGCAUAAAAGCCAUGAACAAUUUGAUUAAAGGUUGUGCUUGGCUUAGGUUUUAUAGACAAUCUCUCUUCUAUGCUUUGAAUGUUUAGUCGAUGUGAGACUCUUUAAGGCUUGAAGUGCCUUGUCGUUUGCAAGUGAGGGGAGCAAGAGAGAGACUGUGAGCAUGAGAAACCCCUAGAGCGUUGUCCUACGAUCAAGGGAAAGAUGAGUACCCAUCGGUCUAAUUCAAAGAGCGGGAAUGGUUUUAGAGACAGAUGAAUCUGCAAAAAGCAUACUUAUGGCAAGACCCAUGAUAGCAUGGGAAGCUACAAAAGUCGUGGAAAUGGAGAAUAUGCACGGGAGGGCAACCUUCACUCAUCAAGAUCAACUAGAAAUGCUCUCUUAGUCUCAAGCGGACAGAUCACUCUUUUCUAAACAUCUGAGAGUGACACCUACAUAAGAUUUUAGUUGCUAGGAUUUUGCAAUUCACAAUGUAUUGUCGAUACACUGACAUGUAAAAUGAGCAAAGAACAGCGAAGAUGAAACUAACAAGUAAAUUUUCUCUAUAAAUAAAAAGUAACAACAAGAGCUUUGGUGGUCUCUUGGCCACGUUGUUACCUCAAUUGCAAUAAUAAGUUUCAUAUAUAAUAUUCAUAUAUUAUAUGUGUUUAUAUAUUAUAUGUAUAUAAAUUAUAUAUAAAAAAAUUUGGUCCGGUCCGGUCGGUCCGAUCGGUCCGGGUCCCACCUUGGAACCAGGAACCGAACCAACCGGCCGCCGGUUCCAAGAUUAAGAACCAGGAACCGGACCGCCGACCGUGGGAACCGCCCAAAACCUGCCAGUCCGGUCCGGUCCAAUUCGGUCCCAGUUCGGGCAAUUUCCGUUGCACACCCCUAAUUCAAGAUAAAGCUAAUCUCUGGCAUCGAAAGCUUGGCCAUAUCAACAUGAAGCAAAUUGCCAAGAUCUCUUCAAAGAAGCUUGUUCGUGGACUACCCAAUCUGAAAUACCAAAAAUCUGAAUUAUGCACACCAUGUGUGUCGGGAAAACAGGUUAUAAGUUCUUUCAAAUCAAUAAAUCAAGUUUCCACUAAUCGUGUGCUGCAGCUCUUGUAUAUGGAUCUCUUUGGACCAACUAAAACUCAAAGCAUUGGUGGAAAGAGAUAUUGCCUAGUAAUAGUGGAUGAUUAUUCACGAUUUACUUGGGUAUACUUUCUAGCAAGUAAGUCAGAUACAUUCUCUUAUUUUUUAAAGUUUGCUAAGAAGGUACAGAAUGAGAAAUGGUAUGUUAUUUCAAGCAUUCGGACAGACCAGGGAGGUGAGUUUGAAAAUCAAGACUUUGCUAAAUUCUAUGAUGAAUCUGGUUUUCAGCAUAUGUUCUCCUCUCCAUACACUCUCGAACAGAAUGGAGUUGUGGAAAGGAAGAAUAGAUCAUUGCAAGAAAAUGCUAGAACACUUUUAAUUGAAAGCAAUAUUUCUCCUUAUUUUUGGGCUGAAGUAAUUUCUACAACAUGUUAUAUCAUUAACAGAGUUUUCUUAAGGCCUAUUUUGGAGAAAACUCCCUAUGAGUUGUUCAAAGGAAAGAAGCCAAUUGUUUCCUACUUUCAUGUGUUUGGUAGCAAAUGUUUUGUAUUGACAAAUGCAAAUGAUCGAAUUGGUAAGUUUAAAGAAAAAUCAGACGAAGGAAGCUUCCUUGGAUAUUCAACUUCCAGCAAAACUUACAAAGUAUAUAACAAGAAGAUUCAAUCUGUGGAAGAAUCGAUGAAUGUCAAAUUUCAAGACCUUAUACAAAAUCAAUCGAUCUAGACUCAACCUGAAGAAUCUGAACCUGCUCCAGACUCUACAAAGUCUAAUUCCGCAGAAGUAGCUCAAACUUCAGAUGGGCAACAACGAACAAAUGUAAAAGAAUCAACUGAAGAAAAAGUUCAACAGUCUGUCAGACCAACCAGCAACUGGAAGCACAAGUCCAAUCAGCCCAAAGAACUCAUCAUUGGUGACAUUGAUGAAGGGAUUCAUACAAGAUCCAAAAGGCAUGAAGAGUCUAGCGAUGUGGCUCUUAUUUCUGAAAUAGAACGCAAAAGCAUAGAAGAAGCUUUAACUGAUGAAAGCUGGAUUGAAGCUAUGCAAGAAGAGCUCAAGCAGUUUAGUGUUAAUGAUGUUUGGGAAUUAACUCAUAAACCAAAAGGUAAAUUUGUUAUUGGAGCCAAAUGGGUUUUCAGGAACAAUAUCGAUGAAAAAUGAAAAGUUAUAAGGAACAAAGCAAGACUUGUAGCCAAAGGAUAUACGCAAGAAGAAUGGAUAGAUUAUGAUGAGAUUUAUGCUCCAGUAGCAAGGUUAGAAGCAAUUAGAUUAUUACUUACUUUUGCUUGUUAUAAGAAUUUCAGGUUAUUCUAAAUGGACGUCAAAAGUGCAUUCCUGAAUGAAUUUAUCCAAGAAGAAGUUUAUGUGGAACAACCUCCCGGUUUUGAAGACCCAAGGAAACCAGACUCUGUAUUCAGACUGAAAAAUGUGCUAUACGGUUUAAAGCAAGCCCCUCGAGCUUGGUACGACAGAUUAAGUAAGUUUUUAAUCCAAAAUGGCUUUGUUAAAGGUAAAGUGGACACUACUCUGUUUAUUAAAAGAAAAAGUAAAAACUUUAUACUUGUUCAAAUCUAUGUUAAUUAUAUUAUUUUUGGAUCACCUCACGAAAACCUAUGCAAGAAAUUCUCUAAGUCCAUGCAGGAUGAAUUCGAGAUGAGCAAGAUGGGUGAACUAUCCUUCUUUCUCGAACUACAAGUGAAAUAAUUGAAGGAAAGAAUUUUUAUUCACUAAGAAAAAUACACUAAAAAUUUUGUUAAAAAGUUCGGUUUGGAGAAUUGCAAAAAGAUUGACAUAUCAAUGUCAAAUUCUUUGAAGAUGGACAAAGAUGAAGGAGAUAAAAAAAAAAGUUGACCAGAAGCUGUACAGGAGUAUCAUUAGUUCACUUCUUUAUCUUACUGCCUCUAGACCUGACAUUUUGUUUAGUAUUUGUAUAUGUGCCAGAUUUCAAUCGGAUCCCAAAGAAUCCCAUCUAAGUGCUGCGAAACGCAUCAUCAAAUACGUUGCAAUAACCUUAAAGUUAGGUCUAUGGUAUCCUAAAGAAUGAGACUUUACUCUCCUUGAAUAUUCAGACGCAGAUCUAGCAAGAUGCAGAGUUGAUAAAAAGAGCACAUCGGGUACUUGUCAACUGCUUGGUAACAGAACAGUAUCCUAGUUUUCAAGGAAGUACAGUAAUGUAACUCUUUCAACAGCAGAAGCAGAGUAUGUGGCUCUUGGAAGUUGUUGUUCUCAAAUCUUAUGGAUAAAACAACAACUAAGAGACUUUGGUAUCGAAGACUCAUGCACUGAGAUCAAAUGUGACAACACCAGCACGGUUAAUCUCACCAAGAAUCCAAUUCUACAUUCAAGAGUGAAGCACAUAGAGAUUCAACACCAUUUUAUUAGAGACCAUGUUCAAAAUGGAGAAGUCUUGAUUCAAUUCAUUGACUCAAAAAAUCAGCUAGCGGACAUUUUUACAAAGCCAUUGGAGAAAAAUCUAUUUGAGUCUAUUCGCUCCAGACUUAAUAGCUUAAAGUCUGAAGAAGCUCAGACUCAGGGAUAACAGUAUGAAGAUGUUUAGACUCAGAAGACCAAAAAUUACGACUGUUAGUUAUUUCAAGUCUAGCAAUUUAGUUUUCGGAUAAAAACUCAAAAAGUUACGAUUGCUUAUUAAUCGGCAAUUGAUUGAUGUUAUCUUCCCAAGUUUUUGAAAUUGUAGCAAUUAUUCUUUUUCGAAAAGGAAGUUAUCUUUUUAAAAUGGCAAUUAUAUAUUUUCAAAAAGGCAGCUAUCUUUGAAAAGAUAUUUCUUAUUUUUCCUUUUAUGACAAUCAGUAUACCUCGUUUCGAUUGCUUUAUAUACUGUCCUUCUUCUUCAUUUUUACUCACAAACCUAGAGCACAGAACCUCACCUUCUUACUUUUUAUCUCUAGUUUAAUCCUUAAAGUUUUCAUCUUUCUCGCGAAUCGAGUUCGGAAAUUCUCUCAAAGACUGUGAUAAUGUCUUCCCAAAGAAAGUUCUCAAGGAUUGCAAGCAGGGAACCACAACAUAUGCGUGAGGGUCCUACGCACUUCGAUCUAACUGAGGAAGAAGACUCUUCAAGGCAGCAGCAAAGUCAACAACAACAUUCUCAGCCGCGCCAUUCUUCUCAAGCUAGACCACAAGAGUCUCCACAACAACAAGUAGAGGAAGAAAUUAUUGAGGAUGUCGAACCUGUAAGGACUCUUAAGCCUACUUUUACUUUCAAACUGUACAUCGCCCUGAAGAAAGGUGGUUCUCCGAUGACUUUUAUUGAUGAAUUUUUGAAAGAAAAGGGGUACCGAAAUGAAACAUAUUUUUUAAGAACGAUGGAACGUUUAGGAAUUGCUCCUGCUGGUUCGGCAAAAAGGGCUUUUGCGAACUUCCCAAGUGAUCCACGUUUAGGAGGAUUUAAUCAACCAGAAGGAAAAGAUGACGAUGAGAAAAUGUUCACUCAUUUCAAGCCUAGAAUGGGUGUUGCUACGAAAAUUCAAGGAAAAAGGACAAAUCUGUUUCGUUCUGAGGAACAUAAGCAAGUUUACUCUAAGUUGCUGAAGCGAGGGGUAAUGAAUCCAAGGAGUGUGGACUUUGAUUUUCUUGAUUCUCUGAACGUGAAAUUACGGGAGAAAUUUACUUUAGUUCAACUUGAACAUUUUUGCUCUGAGACAACCGUAGCUCAUCCAGAACUCACUGUGUAUUUUUAUUCCAAUCUAAGCUUUUUAGAUGCGAAUAGAUUUUCAUUUAGUGUUAGAGACUAGGAUUAUGUGGUUGAUAUGGAUAGUCUAACUGAUGCGAUUUGAGUGGAGAGAGGGAUAUUCCAAUAAAUUAGUGUGUCUAUUGGUCAUGCUACUAUGGAGCUUGUUCAAGACAAAAUUGCAGAAGUUCGGAUUUCGUAUUCGAGGAUAAGUGCCUCAAAUGUCUUGCUCCAUAAGAUUGUAAUUAAUUGUCUCGAACCCAAAUCCACAUCAAAAACUUAUGUCUCCAUUUCUGAAGUAAAGCUGAUGUAUGCCAUCAAUAUUGGUUACAAGUUUUCUCUACCACACACUAUCAUGUUUCACGUGUAUAGGUCAAUGGUAAAGGACAAGAACCAACUUCCCUAUUAAGCUCUUGUUACUCGUCUAUUCAGACAUCUUAAUAUUCAGCCUCCCAAAGUUUUGUGUGUUCGCACUUGUGUUCCAAUGGUGGUAGGACUGAAGAUGGUUUCAAACAUGUGUCUAAAAGAACUAAACAAGGAUUUAGAGCAUUUUAAGGAGAAAACCUCUGUCAAAACUCGUCAAGACCAUGUGGCUGCAAAACGGAAAGACAAGGAGCCCAUGACAGCUCCAUCUAAGAAGAGGAGAGCACUCAUCUUGCAAGAUAAAGAAGAUGAGGAUGACAUCACCAUUUUUGCUCUUGCCUUAAAGAACUUACAGUGUCUUGUUCCAGAGACUGAGGAUAGAGAAAACCAAGACAGAGAGGGACCAAAGCAGAGGAGUGAAGAGAGGGAAUCGAUGAGGAAGGAAGAAGAAGAAGGAAGAACUACAGAAGAAGAGCAAAGAGGAGAACAAACAGAAGGAGAAAGUCAUGGUGAUUCUCCAACAGAGAAUGAAGGACAAGAUUAUGGUAGGACUGAAGAAGAACCAGAGCAUGAAGAGUACUUCUCUCCACCCGAAGGCACUGAAAUAGGGGGAGCUGCUGAUAAAAGAGGCACUCUUUCACUUGCUUUUACCAGCGAUGAUGUCAGUCGUUCUCCUGCCGAUCCAGAAGAUGUAUAUGCCUCUCAAUUUCCUGAGGAAGCUAAUGAGGUUUCAUCUCCAAGUCUAGAUGUUCAUGAUGAAGUUCCAUCAUCUGACAAUACUCCUCAAACUGAUCAUGCUGAAGCAAGCACUCAAACUGACAACUCAGCAAACUUUAGAAGACUGCUUGAUGUUCUUUUGGAGAUCAGAGGUCAGAUUUAUGCUUUGGGAUGUGAAUUUCAGAACAUGCAGAAUGCUAACCAAGCCAUUUCAGUUUCACUGCACGAUCAAGUUCAGGCUCUUAAUCUUCAAGUUCAAGCAACUGCCAAGAGUGAGGAACUAGUGCAACUAAAAGAGGAUCUAAGAAAGCUAGAGUAGACUAUCCAGUCAAUGGGAGAUUUCCAGCUUGUUCGCGUUCCAAAACAAUCUUAAUUUUGUCAUAUUCUCUUUUUCGUCUUUACCUUUUUAAUGUUGACAAAAAGGGGGAGAAGUUGGUGCAGAUUUGGCAGAUUUGACCUUUAGAUAUGACUUUUUGGUUGUGUUUGAUUUGGACUGUGUUUUGUUUGUUUAAUGCUUGCAGUAUCUUAAUCAUUGUUAGAUAGUUGUUUUUACAAGAUUAACUCGUUUCCUGUGGAUGCAAAUUCGACACUAUCCUUAUCCUAACUUAUUUAUCUUUUAUGAGAUAUCUUUGUUUGCUUAAGUACUGUUUUGCAGGACAAAAGUAUCCAAAUCUGCAGGAAAGUUUUGUCAUCAUCAAAAAGGGAGAGAUUGUUGGAGAAAACUUCCUUAUCUGUUUUGAAGUUAACAAAACAUUUCCUUUAGUCUAAUCUGAAGACUUCCAAACUCUAUCGUCAAAGUCUGAAGACCACCAGACACAAGACUUAAAGUCUGCCCUCAUUAACAGUUUCUAGAUCGAUGAAGAAGACUUAUCCAGAUGCAAGUAUGUCUUUAAGGAUUUGAUUUGUGCAUCUAAAGAAUCUCUCACGGCUUGGAUGGCAUCUCAAGAUUUGUUAUUCGUAUUGAAAUUGAUUCGAGUAACUAAGAUCCGUUGAUUUGUGAAGUAUACUUGGAAGGUUCUACAUAUGGAAACCUAGAUCCUGGUUGUAUGAGCGAGCAGCAUUGGUGGGCUAUCUUCAUAUUCCUUAAAUAACUCGAGAUCUCCCUAAUUGAUUCUGUCCAACGGGUAAAUUAGAAGAACUCUUUUGGAAUGUGCCAACGGUUAUGAAGGCAUGGAGGAAUUUAUAAAGGAAGACGCUCUAGUUAUUCGAAGGUGUGCAAGAUAGAUAAAUUCCAAAGUCUGAAGCUCCUUAUACUUUGCUUAUUCAAUUGUUGAGCUUAUAUUCGUACUCAAAAGAGAGAUUAGAUAUUGGUGAGACCUUGAGGAAGUGUAAUAGAAAUUCUACACUGUGGAAUCAAAGAUGUGAGAUUAUAACACCUCUUUUGAUUCAUAGUGAAAUCCAGCCGGUUGGCUAUCAGUGCGAGAGAGUGGACGUAGGCUUGGUCUAAGUUGAACCACUAUAAAUCUUGUGUUCUUAUUCUCUUCCCCGAACUCCUUUAUUUUGUUCGUAACUUUAUUUAAUUGCUAGAGUCUGAUUUCCUCUGCAAAGUCUUUUGUCAACCAGACUCAGGUUAAAAGUAAAUUUUUAUACUAUAUUUUGCAAAAUUUGUUUUCACACCUAUUCACCUUCCCUCUAAGUGUUCGUACUAGCACUUUCACUUUCUGGGGCCACCAGGGGGAGGUCGUUCUUAUCUUACCCUGACAAAGCACACAAACAUCUGAAAGAGCUCUGGACUCUAGAGAUUAAUACCUAUAGCAUAAUCAGCGAUCAUUCUUGGUGACAACUUCUAGCUAGUGAAUGAUAUAUAGCACCUUCAUCGUGUCUUGCUAUCAAAUAGAUCUCCAUGAAAGUUUACUGGCAAAAGCUGACUAUUAAGUGUUGGAGAAAACUCUUUUAUUUAGAAGUUAACAAAACGUUUCCAUCAGUAUAGUCUGAAGACUUGCAAACUCUUUCGUCAAAGUCUGAAGACCUCCAGACUCAAGAUUUAAAGUCUACCCACACUGACAGUUUCUUGACCAAUGAAGAGAAGACUUAUCCAGAUGCGAGUUUUUCUUUAAGGAUUCGGUUCGUACAUUUUGAAGAAUAUCUUACAACUAGAGAUAACACCUUGUGAUCAAUUAUUCUUAUUGGAAUCAAUUCGGAUAAUUAAGAUCUUUUGAAAGGCGAAGUAUACUUGGAAUGUUCUACUUAUGGAAACCUAUAUCCUGAUUGUAUGGGCGAGCAGGAUUGGUGAGCUAUCAUCACAUUCCUUAAACGACUCGAGAUCUUCUUGAUUGAUUCUGUCCAACAACUAGAUUGGAAGAACUCCUUUGGAAAGUGCCAACGGAUAUAGAGGCAUGAAAUAGUAUAUAAAGAAAACGAUCAAGUUGUUCGAAUGUGUGCGUGAAAGAAAAAUUCCAAAGUCUGAAGCUCUUAGUUCUUUGCUUUCUCAAUCGCUGAGCUUAAGUUAUACUCAAAAGAGAGAUCAAACACUUGUGAGACCUUGAGGAAGUGUAGUAGAGUUUCUACAUUGUGGAAUCAAGGACGUGAGACUGUAAAUCUCUUUUGAUUCAUAAUGAAAUCCAGCCAAUAGAUUGUCAGUGCGGGAGAGUGAACAUAAGCUUGAUCUAAGCUGAACCACUAUAAACAUUGUGUUUCAAUUCUCUUUCCCUAUACUCUUUGCUUUAAUUCGUAGCUUUAUCUAAUUGCUUAUAGUCUUUUACAUAUUCAAUCUGUUAUUCUUGAAAGACAAGUUAACUUGUCAAAAAGUCUAGCGUAAAUUGGCUAGAACACCAAUUCACCCCCCCUCUAGGUGUCCUUACUAGCCCUAUCAAUUAGUAUCAAAGCUUGUAUGCUCAUUUAAUUGAAGUGUUUUUACUUCUGAGUUAAAUAUCUAUGGCUAGUAUGUUGGCUCCAGGUUUGAUUGAAGGCCAAAGCAACACUAGACUUCCUUACUUUGAUGGAAAGGAAUACAGCAUAUGGAAAAACAAGAUGAAGGCAUUCCUAAGAUCGAAAGACCCUCUAGAAUGGGAUGUGGUAGAAAAAUGAAUCAUUUCUAAAGCUGCAUCAAUUUCAGAAAGAGGAAAAGAAGUUGUAGAUGCUAGCAAGAUGACAUAAGAAGAAAUAACAAAGAGACAAACUCUUGAUGCUAAAGUAAUUUACUCUUUAUAUUGUGUUUUAUCUCCUACUGAGUAUAGCAGAAUUUCUUCUUAUGAAACAGCCAAAGAAGUUUGGGAUAUGCUGCACAUUACCUAUAAAGGCAUUGAUCGAGUGAAAGAAACAAAGAUCAAUAUUUUACUCGGACAAUAUGAAGCUUUCAAGAUGAAGUCAAGAGAAUCUAUCACCGACAUGUUUAGUCGUUUUACAGAGAUUGUAAACGGUCUGGAGUAUCAGGGACAAUCAAUCUCAAGACCAAUGAAGGUUAACAAAUUGCUGCGUGGACUCUCUAAAAAUGGGAACCACGUGAAGACUUCAAUAAGGGAAACUCAAAGGAUCAUGCCGCUUUCUGUAAACAAGCUGGUUGGCACACUUCAGUCUUAUGAAGUGGAGCAAAUCAACGAAGAAGAAGAUCCUAAGGGUAAGAAGUCAAUUGUUUUAAAAUCUAACGAUGACUUUGAUGUUACAGACUCUGAAGAUGAUAUGGACGAUGAAGAGUUAGCACUUAUGAUAAGGAGGUUCAGGAAACCGAAAAAAAAAAUGGAACAAGAUUCAAUUGGAAGAAACAAAGCACUCAAAAGUUUCAAAACAAAUCAACUGAGAAUGAUGAAGCCAACAAAGACGUAAUCUGUUUUGAAUGCAAGAAAAAUGGACACAUCAGACCCAACUGUCCUCCGUUGAAGAAAAAGAAGGGAAAAGCUAAGAAAUACAGAAAGACUCUCAAAGUAGAGACAUGGAGUGAUGCUGAAUGUGAAUAAAGUAACGAAGAUUAUGCCAAUAUAUGUCUAAUGGCAAAAUCAAGAUCAGACUCAGACUCUGAGAUAGAUUCAAAUUCAGACUCAGACAGUAAAAUCGAGGUAAGCAAUUUAAAAAAUCCUACUAAAAUCUCGAAAUACGUUGAUGAACUUUGUCUCAAUCUCAAAACCUCUCUUAAGAGGAUUUCCGAGCUAGAAAGGGAAAAUUCUACACUUAAGCAACAAGAAAAUUCUUGGAAAGAAAAGUUUGAAAAUCUAGACAAAAGCUUUGUGGUUUAAAAGAAAAUGCAGACUCUCUUUCAAAAGAAAAUACAUUUUUGAAACAAGACAUUUCAAAUAUUUCAAAAAGAUUUUCAAUAGAAUAUGAGAAUUUGAAAUAGAUUUUUUCAGUACAAAGACAUUAUUUCAACAAGUCAGGAUUAGGAAUGACCCCAGAAACCAUUCAUUUAAUUGAUUUUCCAAAUGUAAAUGAAAGAAUUAAACAAAGACCGACAAAAAAUUUUUACAGAAAUCAUUUUCAAAAAGUCUUUGUAAAAUCUGUUGGCCGAAGUGCUCUCAAAUGCUCAAAAUGCAAUAUCUCAAAACAUUUUGAAAAAGGAUUUUCCUAUGAUUUGGAGACUUGUUAAGAAAGAUUGGGGAGAGACUGUGUUUAAAACUAACUCCUCUGGACCCAAGAAGAUAUGGGUAACAAAGAAAGCUUGAGUUCUUUUUGUAAUUGCAGGUCACUAUCAAGAAAAAGAUUAAAUGGUAUUUGGAUGGUGGCUGUUCGAGACAUAUGACUGGAGAUUCAAGUUGUUUUAUAAAACUUGUGCAAAUAAAUGGUGGAAAAGUUUCUUUUGGUGGAAACAGCAAAGAAAAAAUUGUUAGGUGUGGAACUAUAAAAAUUGGAAGUCUCACAAUCAACAAUGUCUCCUUGGUGGAAGGACUAAAUUACAAUCUACUAAGCAUUAGCCAAUUGUGUGACAUUGGAUUCAAAAUCAACUUCCAAGUAAGAAUAUGUUCAGGAACUAGUAAAGAUCUUUCUCAAUCUUUUACUGAACGAAGACAUUGGAACAUUUAUCUUCUGGAUAUAAAACCAGAAAGAUCUCAAUGUUUGAUAUCGAUUCAAGAUGAAGCAAAUCUUUGGCAUCGAAAGCUUGGCCAUGUUAACAUGAAGCAAAUUGCCAAGAUCUCAUCCAAGAAUCUUUUUCGUGGACUGCCCAACCUGAAGUAUCAAAAGUCUUACUUAUGCACACCAUGUGUGUUGAGAAAACAUGUUAGAAGCUCUUUUAAAUCAAUAAAUCAGAUUUCUACUAAUCGUGUUUUGCAACUUUUGCAUAUGGAUCUCUUUGGACCAACCAGAAUUCAAAGCAUAGGUGGAAAGAGAUAUUGUCUAGUAAUUGUGGAUGAUUAUUCACGAUUUACUUGGGUCUACUUUCUAGCAAGUAAGUCUGAAACAUUUUAUUACUUUUCAAAGUUUGCUAAGAAAGUUCAGAAUGAGAAAUAAUAUGUUAUUUUAAGCAUACAGAAAAAUCACGGAGGGAAGUUUAAAAAUCAAGACUUUGCCAAAUUCUGUGAUGAAUCUAGUUUUCAGUAUGUUUUCCCUUCUCCAUACACUUCAGAACAAAAUGGAGUUGUGGAAAGAAAAAAUAAAUCUUUGCAAGAAAGGGCAAGAACUAUCUUAAUUGAAAGUAAUAUUUCUCCUCGUUUUUAGGCUGGAGCAGUUUUUAUAACUUGUUAUAUUAUUAACAAAGUAUUCUUAAGACAUAUUCUUGAGAAAACUCCCUAUGAGUUAUUCAAAGGAAAGAAGCCAAUUAUUUCUUAAUUUUCAUGUGUUUGGUUGCAAAUGUUUUAUUUUGAAAAAUGCAAAUGAUCAAACUAGUAAAUUUGAAGAGAAAUCAGACGAAUGAACUUUCCUUGGCUACUCAACCUCAAGCAAAGCCUAUAGAGUAUUCAACAAGAAGACUCAGGCCCCGUUUGGUUGGGCUUUCCUAAGAAGCUUUGAGCCUUCAAAACCCCUUCGAGAAAAAAAUUUGUGUUUGGCAAGUGUUUUUUAAUGCUCAUUUGCCAAAUGUGGGCAUUCUCAAUGCUGAAAGCUGAAUGCUAAGAAUGGGGUGCUUUGGGCAUUGAGCAUUUUGGAAAUGCAAUGCGUCACUAUUCAUCGUCUCUCCCCCUUCGUCUUCUUCUCUUCCCCGCCCAUCUUCUUCACUGUUCAUCUUCUUCUUCCCCGCCCAUUGGGCUUCUCCGGCAGCCACCGCCGCCGCCUGAGGGUCGUGCGUCCUCGAUGACCACCGCCUAGGGGUGGCACGACUCGCGACCCAAGCGGUGUUGCCUAGGUCGCAUGGACCUCAGGCAGCGUCACCUGGCGCUUGCGAACCUCAAGCAGUGUCGCCUGGGGCGCGCGGACCCCAAGCAACGCCACCUGGGUCCGCGGGAUCUUAAGCCACCAGAUCUGGCGGUCCGGAGGCCAAAUCUAGCCGUCAGACGGCCAGAUCUAGCCUUUGUGACCUCAAGCGCCUGAGGUCGCGCCUCCAGGUGGUGACAGCGUUGCCUGAGGUCGCAACCUCAAGCGACCAAAUCUGGCCACCACUCCGCCUACCACUUGAGGGCAUGACCUAGGUGGCCAGAUCUGGCCACCGGGCCAUCCGGCAGUAUCACCGGCCACCGGAUUUGAUUUUCAUAAUUUAAAAAAUAUAUAAAAAUAAAAGAAAUAAAAGCAAAAGCCCAUUACAAAUAUUAGUUAUGCCAAACGGUAUUUAUGUUAAAGUUACAUUUCAAUGCUACUUGAGACUACAAAUUACCAAACGGUGCAAUAUUUCGAAAAACCCUUUUACCUCAAAGGUAUUUGCAUUCUCCUAAAGGCAUUCCCCCAAAGCCGAACCAAACGGGCUCUCAGUCUGUGGAAGAAUCUAUGAACGUCAAGUUCCAAGACUCUUUGCAGAAUUAAUUGAUUCAAACUCAACCUAAAGAAUCUGAACCUACUCUAGACUUUACAAAGUCUACCUCCCCUAAAGUAGCUCAGACUUUUGAAGAUCAACAACGAACGGAAGAAUCAAUUGAAGCAAAAAAUCAGCAAUCUGUUAGACCGACCAGUAACUAGAAGCACAAGUCUAGUCAUCCUAAGGAACUCAUCAUCAGCGACAUUGAUGAAGGAAUUCGCACUAGAUCCAAAAAAACAAGAAAAGUCUAGCGUCAUGGCACUUAUUUCUGAAAUAGAACCCAAAAGUAUAGAAGAUGCCUUAGCUGACGAAAGCUAGAUUGAAGUUAUGCAAGAAGAACUCAGACAGUUUAGCAUUAACGAUGUCUGCGAAUUAACUCCUAAACCAAAAGGUAAAUCCAUUGUUGGAGCUAAAUGGGUUUUCAAGAACAAGAUAGACGAAAAAGGAAAAGUGGUCAAAAACAAAGCAAAACUCAUGGCCAAAGGAUAUACGCAAGAAGAAGGGAUAGACUAUGAUGAGACCUACACACUAGUAGCAAGAUUAGAAGCAAUUAGAUUAUUACUCGCUUUUGCAUGCUGUAAAAAAUUUAGGUUAUUCCAAAUGGACGUCAAAAGCGCAUUUCUAAAUGGAUUUAUCCAAGAAAAAGUCUAUGUGGAACAACCUCUUGGAAUUGAAGAUCCAAAGAAACCAGACUCAAUAUUCAGACUGAAUAAGGCUCUAUAUGGAUUAAAACAAGCACCUCAAGCUUGGUACAACAGGUUAAGUAAGUUUCUAAUUCAGAAUGAUUUUGUUAAAGGUAAAGUAGAUACUACUUUAUUUAUUAAAAGAGAAGGUAAAUAUUUUCUACUCAUUCAAAUCUAUGUUAAUGAUAUCAUAUUUGGAUCACCUAAUGAAAACCUGUAAAAGAAGUUUUAUAAGUCUAUACAGGAUGAAUUUGAGAUGAGCAUAAUGGGUGAACUAUCUUUCUUUCUCGGAUUACAAAUGAAGGAAUUUUCAUUCACCGAGAAAAAUAUGCAAAAGAUCUCGUUAAAAAGUUCAGAUUAGAGAAUUGCAAAAAGAUUGAAAUACCAAUGUCAAGUUCUUCAAAGCUGGACAAAGACGAAGGAAGAAAGAAAGUUGACCAAAAGCUUUACAUUAGCAUUAUUGGUUCAUUUCUUUAUCUUACUAUUUCUAGACCUGACAUUUUGUUUAGUAUUUGCAUUUGUGCAAGAUUUCAAUCAGAUCUCAAAAAAUCUCAUCUAAGUGCUGCAAAACGCAUCAUCAAAUAUGUUGCAACUACUUCAAAUUUAGGUCUAUGGUAUCCCAAAGAAUGAGACUUUAUUCUCCUUGGAUAUUCAUAUGCAGAUUUAGCAAGUUGUAGAGUUGAUAGAAAGAGUACCUCUGGUACGUGUCAAUUGCUAGGAAACAGGACAGUAUCUUGAUUCUCAAGGAAGCAAAGCACUAUAGCUCUUUCAACAGCAGAAGCAGAGUAUAUGGCUCUUGGAAGUUGCUGUUCUCAAAUCUUGUGAAUAAAGCAACAACUAAGAGACUUUGGAAUCAAAAAGUCGUGCACCGAAAUCAAAUGUGACAACACCAACGCAAUCAAUUUUACAAAGAAUCCAAUUCUUCAUUCAAGAGCAAAGCACAUAGAGAUUCGACAUCAUUUCAUUAGAGAUCAUGUUCAAAAUGGAGAAGCUAUGAUACAAUUCAUCAAUUCAAAGAAUCAACUGGCAGACGUAUUUACAAAGCCUCUGGAAAAAAGCCUAUUUGAGUCUAUUUGCACCAGACUGAAUAUCACAACUUUUAUCUAGUAAAGUUUGCAAAUGCUCAGACUCAGAGGUAAAAUCUGAAAGUGUUCAAGUUCAGAAAACCAAGAGUUACGAUUGUAAGUUAUUUCGGCUUUAGUAAUUUAAUUUUUAGUUAAAGAUUUGAAAAAGGUACAGUCUCUUUUUAAUCACUAAUUGAUUGUUAUAUUUUUAGAAAUUAUAUUUUCCGAGUUUUUGAAUUUAUGGUAGUUUUUCUUUUUCAAAAAGGCAGUUAUUCAUUUUCAAAAAGGCAGUUUUAUUUAUUCCUUUAUAACGAUUCAUAUAUAUCGUUUUGUUUGUUUUAUAUACUGUUGUUUUUCUUCUUCGUUUUCACUCACAAACCCUAGAUCACAGGACCUCACUUUCUCACUUUUUCUCACUAGUUUAAUCCAUAAAGUUCUCAUCUUUUUCACGAAUUGAGUUCGAGAAAUUUCUCAAAGACUGUGACAAUGUCUUUCCAAAGAAAAUCCUCUAUGAUCGCAAGUAGGGGACCACAACAUAUGCGUGAGGGUCCUACACACUUUGAUCUAACCAAGGAAGAAGACUCUCCAAGGCAUCAGCAAAGUCAACAAUAACAUUCUCAAUCGUGUCAUUCUUCUUAGGCUAGAACUCAAAUGCCUUCGCAUCAACAAGCAGAGGAAGAAAUCAUCGAGAAUGUAGAACCUAUAAGGACUCUUAAGGCCGCAUUUCUUUUCAUACUCUACACCGCUUUGAAGAAAGGUGGUUCUCCAAUGACCCUUAUUGAUGAUUUUUUGAGCGAAAAAGGGUAUAGAAAUGAAACUUACUUUUUAAAGACGAUGGAGAGUUUGGGCAUUGCUACUGCCGGUUCGGCAAAAAGAGCUUUUGCAAAUUUCCCAAGUGAUCCACGGUUUGGAUCAUUUAAUCAACCUGAAGGAAAAGAUAAUGAUGAGAAGAUGUUCACACAUUUUAAGCCCAGGAUGGGUGUCGCUGCGAACAUUUGUGGUACAAGAAUGGAUCUUUUUCGUUCUAAGGAGCACAAUAAAGCUUAUUCUAAAUUCUAAAGUGAGGGGUGAUGAACCCUAGAAGUGUGGAUUUUGAUUUUCUCGAUUCAUUGAACUUGAAGUUACGGGAGAAGUUUACAUUGCUUCAACUCGAACGGUUUUGCUCUAAAUCAACUAUUGCUCAUCCGGAACUUACAGCUUAUUUCUAUUCCAAUCUAUCCUUUUUAAAUGCGAAUAGAUUUUCCUUUAGUGUUAGAGACCAGGAUUUUGUGGUUGAUGUAGACAUUCUGGCUAAUGUGAUUAGGGUGGAAAGAGAGAGUUUCCAACCAAUCAGUGUGUCUAUUGCUCAUGCUUCCUUGGCACUUGUUCAAGAUAGAAUUGCUGAAGGCCGAAUUUCUUACACUAGGAUGAAUGCCUUCAAUAUCUUAUUUCACAAUAUUGUCAUUAACUAUCUCAGACCCAAAUCAACAUCAAAAACUGAUGUCUCAAACUCUGAAGCAAAGCUGAUGUACGCCAUUAACAUGGAUUUCAAGUUCUCUCUGCCUCACACUAUCCUUAUGCACAUGUAUAGGAUAGUGAUAAAGGAUAAGGGACAACUCCCUUAUUCUGCUCUUAUCACUCGUUUAUUCAGACAUUUAACAUUUAGCUUCCCAAAAUUCUGUGUGUUCGAACCAUUAAUCCAAUGGUAGUGGGACUGAAUAUGGUUUCCAAGAUGCGUCUGAAGGAGCUAAAUAAGGCUUUGGAGCGUUUUAAGGUGAAGACCCCUGUCAAGGCACGACAAGACUCUACGGCUGGAAAAAGGAAAGGCAACGAGCCCAUGAAAACACCAUCCAAGAAUUGGAGAGCACUCAUCUUGGAGGAUGAAGAAAAUGAGGAUGACAUCAUUAUCUCUGCUCUUACUUUGAAGAACUUAUAGAGUUUUGUUACAGAGACAGAAGAAGAAGAAAGAACAAAAGUGAGAUAGCUAGUAUGAGCACCUAGAGAGGGGUGAAUAGGUGUAAAAAUAAUUCUUCGUGAUAUAAGAACAAUACUAAGCAGAUAAUAGAAAGGAAGUUCUUCAUUGGUUAACAAGACGAAUUAUGAUCAAAGUAAAGCAGAGAGUAGGGAAGAGAAAAUUGAACACGAGGUUUAUAGUGAUUCGGCUUAUUCCAAGACUACGUCCACUCUUCCGCACUGACAGCCCACCGGCUGAAUUUCACUAUGAACAAAAGAGAUGUUACAGCAAGUCACUUCCUUGAUUCCACAGUGUAGAACCUCUACCACACUUCCUCAAGGUCUCUCAAAGUAUAUACUCUCUUUUGCGUACAAGAUUUCGCUCAGUAAAUGAAUUGACUAAGAACAAAGAGCUUCAGACUUUGGAAUUCUUCUAUCGUGCACACUCUCGAACAAUUAGAACGUCUUCCUUUUAUACUCUUUUAUGCCAUCAUACCCAUUGGCACUUACCAAAGGAAUUCCUCCAAUCUACCCGUUGGACGGAAUCAAUUAGGAAUAUCAUUCAAGCUAUUAAAGGAACAUGUCAAUAGCCCAUCAAUCCUGCUCGUCCAUACAAUCAGGAUCUCGGUUUCCAUAAGUAGAACCUUCCAAGAAUACUUCGCCAAUCAUCGGAUCCUUAAUCUCUGAAUCAAUCAUGAUCAAAUAAAGGAUUCCGUUAUGUCAUAUCCAGCCAAGAGAUCUUCUCCAGUCGAUAAGGUCAAGUCCUUAAUGAAACACCCAGUUCUGGAUAACCCUUCUUCGACGGUCUAGAAACUGUCAAUGAGAAUAAACUUUGAGUCUUGAGUCUGGCAGUCCGGAGGUCUUCAGACUUUGAAUAGUAGAGUCUGCAAAUCUUCAGACUAGACUGAUGGAAACAUUUUGUCAGUUUCAAAAUAUUCCAGGAAGAUUUCUCCAACAAAAAGAAGUAGAGAGAGGAAGAGAAGAAGCAGAAGAAGAGGAUCAUGGUGCUUCUAGUGCAGAGGACGAAGGACAAGAUCUUCAUGAAGAACAAGAGCAAGAAGAGUAUUUUUCUCCACCUAAAGGCACUGAAACAGGGGGAGCUGCUAACAAAAGAGGUACUUCUUCACUUGCUCUUACUAGUAAUGAUGUUAGUUGUUCUCCUGCUGAUCUAGAAGAUGUAUUUGCCUCUCAAUUUCCUGAAGAUGGUAAUGAGGCUUCAUCUCCAAUUUUGAAUGUACAUGUUGAAGUUCCAUCAUUGGUUAAUCCUCCACAAUCUAAUCGUGUUGAAGCAAGUACUCAAACUGACGAUUCAACAGACUUUAAAAGACUGUUCGAGCUUCUUCUGGAGAUUAAAGCUCAGAUUUAUGAGUUGGGAUGUGAAUUUUAGAUCAUGCAGAAUGCUCAUAAAGCCACUUCAGUUUCUUUGCAUGACCAAGUACAAGCCCUUAAUCUUCAAGUUCAAGCAAAUACAAAGGGUGAGGAUUUAAAACAACUGAAGGAGGGUCUGAGGAAGCUGGGGGAGACUGUCAAGUCUAUGGGGGAUUUUCAACUCGUUCGCAUCCCCAAGCAACCUUGAUUUUAUCCAAUACUUUUUAUGUUCUCCACUUUUUGCUGUUGACAAAAAAGGGGCAAAAAGUGGAGAAAGUUUGUACAGAUUUGACUAUUGGUUUGGAUUUUUUUACUUUUUGGACUUAUCUUUUGCUUGGUUGUGGAUUGAACCUGUUGACUAUUUGAUUUGAUCUUUUGAUGCUUAUAGUAACUUAGGUUGUGACAAUUAUGGAAGGAUAGUUAUUUUGUAGGACUAACAAGUUUUCUGUAGUUGUAGAAUCGUUACUAUUCUUGUCCUAAUCUACUCACCUUUUAUGAGAUAUCUUGUUUUGCUUAAGUUUUAUUUUGUAGGUCAAAAGCAUUCACAUCUGUAGGAAAGUUUUGUCAUCAUAAAAAAGGGGGAGAUUGUUAGAGAAAACUCUCUUAUUUUGAAAUUAACAAAACGUUUCCAUCAGUCUAGUUUGAAGACUUGCAGACUCUUUCAUCAAAGUCUGAAGACCUCCAGACUCGAGAUUUAAAGUCUACCCACACUAAUAGUUUAUUGACCAACGAAGAGAAGACUUAUCUAGAUGCGAGUUUUUCUUUAAGGAUUCGGUUCGUAUGGUUUGAAGAAGAUCUUACGGCUGGAGAUAGCACCUUGUGAUCAAUUAUUCUUUUUGGAAUCAAUUCGGAUAAUCAAGAUCUUUUGAAAGGCAAAGUAUACUUGGAAGGUUCUACUUAUGGAAACCUAGAUCCUGAUUGUAUGGGCGAGCAAGAUUGGUGGGCUAUCAUCACAUUCCUUAAACGACUCGAGAUCUCCUUGAUUGAUUUUGUCCAAUGGGUAGAUUGGAAGAACUCCUUUGGAAAGUGCCAACAGAUAUAAAGGCAUGAAGGAGUAUAUAAGGAAGACGCUCAAGUUGUUCGAGUGUGUGCGUGAAAGAAAAAUUCCAAAGUCUGAAGCUCUUAGUUCUUUGCUUUCUAAAUUGCUAAGCUUAAGUUGUACUCAAAAGAGAGAUCAAACACUUGUGAGACCUUAAGGAAGUGUAGUAGAGUUUUUACACUGUGGAAUCAAGGACAUGAGACUGUAAAAAUCUCUUUUAAUUCAUAGUGAAAUCCAACCAGUAAACUGUCAGUGUGGGAGAGUGGACGUAGGCUUGGUUUAAGUCAAACUACUAUAAACCUUGUGUUUCAAUUCUCUUUCCUUAUACUACUUGCUUUAAUUCGUAGCUUUAUCUAACUGCUUAUAGUCUUUUACAUAUUCAAUCUGUUAUUCUUUAAAGAUGAGUUAACUUGUCAAAAAGUCUAGCGUAAAUUGGCUAGAACACCUAUUCACCCCCCCUCUAAGUGUCCUUACUAGCCCUAUCGUUAAGAACAUUAGUGUUUGCUGGAAAAUUUAUGAACUAGCAAACUGUGUAUUUUCAUACAGUUUGGCACUAUGCAUUGGUCGUAGUUGGUGUUUACUUGGAAUUUGGGAUACUUUAAUUUUCCCAUUGACAAAAGAUUCAUUUAUAAUUUCAUCAUUAUUUGCUGCAAUUUUCACAACGUUGACAGAAGGUAUUUUUCCAUCAGUUAUUUUGAUGAACAGGUUGCUUAUUUGAACAUGUUGAGAGCAAAAACGCACAAAUUUGAAUCUCAUUACCUUGACAAACUUGUUGGUAAUUCAAAUAAGCUUUGGUGCAUGUUUCAUCUCGCCUCAGGUAAGUCUUUAUACUAAUCAUCCAUUCAUUGCACUAUAGGAUCUGAAAAGGAUUAUUACGAGAGAUCACCUAUAAAUUCUGUUGAGAAAUUUUCUUGCCCCAUAAUUCUAUUCCAAGGGUUGGAAAACAAGGUACGCAAGUCAUGUUAUUUCCAAUGGUCCUUUGCCCCUCUAGUUUUACUCCCCAAAAAUCAAGGAAAAAGUAUAGAAUGAAGAAGGGGGAAAAAGUCCAGUGUCAAAAUUAGGGUUGUCUUUUAAUUUCCUCAUUAUGAAAUUGCAUCAGAUAAGUUUGGCUUCUCUUUUCACUUGAUAAAUAAAAUUUCAUCAAUGGCCUCAAGAUAUUUCUCUUUAAUCUCUAGCAUUCUAACGACUUUGAUGCCUGGCAUUUUGGCAAUUAUCUGCUACAUCUUGCAGGUGGUACCGCCUGAUCAAGCUUGCAAAAUUUAUGCAGCACUGAAGUAGAAAGGUAUGCCUGUUGUAUAGUGGAAUACGAAGGUGAGUAGCAUGGCUUUCACAAGGUAUUGUUCUUUGUGAGUCUUACAUAAAGAAGUUGUUAGAAAAAACUUCCUUAUUUAUUUUGAAGCUAACAAAACGUUUCCAUCAGUCUAGUUUGAAGACUUGCAGACUCUUUCGUCAAAGUCUGAAGACCGCUAGACUCAAGAUUUAAAGUCUGCCCUUAUUGACAAUUUCUAAACCGACAAAGAAGACUUAUCCAGAUGCGAGUAUUUCUUUAAGGUUUUGAUUCGUGCAGCUAAAGAAGUUCUCAAGGCUGGAAAUAGCAUCUCAAGAUCUAUUAUUCGUUUUGAAAUUAAUUCGAGUAAUUUGGAUCUGUUUAUUGGCAAAGUAUACUUGGAAGAUUCUACUUAUGAAAACCUAAAUCCUGAUUGUAUGGGCUAUCAUCACAUUCCUUAAGUAACUCAAGAUCUCCCUAAUUGAUUCUAUCCAACGGGUAGAUUGGAAGAACUCCUUUGGAAGGUGCCAACGGUUAUGAAGGCAUGGAGGAGUAUAUAAGGAAAACGCUCAAGUUAUUCGAGUGUGUGCGCGAUAGAUAAAUUCCAAAGUCUAAAGCUCCUUAUUCUUUGCUGAUUCAAUUGUUGAGCGUAAAUUUGUACUCAAAAGAGAGUUUAAAUAUUUGUGAGGUCUUGUGGAAGUGUAGCAGAGUCUCUACACUAUGGAAUCAAAGACGUGAUACUGUAACAACUCUUUUGAUUCAUAGUGAAAUCCAGUCAAUGGGUUGUCAGUGUGGGAUAGUGGACGUAGGCUUGGUCUAAGCUGAACCACUAUAAAUCUUGUGUUCUUAUUCUCUUCCCUGAACUCUUUUAUUAUGUUCGUAGUUCUAUUUAACUACUAAAGUUUAAUCUCGCUCACAAUCUGCUACUCUUCAGACUCAAGUUAAAAGUAAAGGUUUUCACUGCAUUUUGCAGAAUUUAUUUUUACACCUAUUCAUCACCCUCUAGGUGUUUAUACUAGCACUUUCAGAAGUCAUUUGUUAUGUGUGCAAUGCAAGAAAUUGAUGUGCAAUGUUUCACGGGUGGAAAAUAUCAAAUUCACAGUGGAACAACAAAUGUUGUUUUUUGCACGUUUGGUAGGACACUUUGAUGUUGCCAACGAGAUCACGCCAAUCAAAAUUGAUAACUUUGACUGAGCUUGUCUCAUGAAGGUAGUGAUUGCUCUUCUAUUGUAAGUAAUCUAUUGGCUUCUUAAAGAUGAAUUGGAACCUUGCUUUCUACUGCCUGCGAUUGUUAAUCACGUGUUGUUGUGCUGGUGCAUGACUUUGGAUUGUCCAUGCGCAUCAUUGUAUGUUCAUCCUGCUUGUAUACUUGGCCGAAUUCCAAGUAUGAGAAUUGGCUUAAUGAUGCAAUGGCGUCAAUUACCUGUCAUGGUUGAAUAUGAUGGUCGAAUUGCCCCUCAUUCUUGAAAUUGAUUUGAUCAUCGCAUUCCAGCUGCAAUUGUGCACUUUUG